rnacentral:lncRNA from 1 species
UUUUUUUUUUUUUUUUUUUUCUGUUUGACACUCUUUUUUAAUUUUUGGUUCUGUUUUUUUUUUCUUUUUUUCUGUUCAGUCCUCUUCUACUAAUUAUAAUGGCUGAACCAUCAUCUAAUGCUGUAACCUUUACUUUGUACUUUGCAUUAUGUUUUUUAUCCUUUUGUUAUUUUGAACUUUUGAAUGAGUUUAUUUGGUGUUGGUUAUUGUGUGAACUCAUAAAACUUUUUUAGUUUAUUUAAAUGCAAUUCAUUGUUUUUUUAAUUUUUUAUCUAUUGUUUUGUUAAUAUAUAUAUAUAUAUAUAUAUUGUCCGUCAUGACGUCUGUCAUUUGUUGCUACGCCAUCUUUCAUAUUUUUGUGGUGGGUUUUUGACUUUUCGUCAUAAAUCGCUAUCCGUCAUUAACAACAUUGACACAAACAUGAGGAUGUACAUGUAUGAAUGGAAAGAGAAAAAUGUCCAUUUCUCUUUUCCCCUUUCCCCAAAGGAUAGGCUUAGACACGCCGAAGCGCUUACAUGAAACCAAACAGCGGAUGGUGGUUCCAAGGCUUUAAGGCACUUGAUGGCAGUUACCAACAACCAAAAUUGGAUACUCUUUGAACAUACAAAAUUGGUUCUGCUUGGCAGCUUUCUGUUGGAUUUAGAUCCUUUUUCAUUGUGUUCCUUCCGAUCUGUCAAAAACAUCACCAUUACUAAUGUUCAUUGAAUCCUGAAGAUUCAGAGAAGCAACAGAAGAUGCUUAAGGAUGACAAAAUCAUGAAAGUUUCUAGCUCCAAUGUAAAGAAGAAUUUGCUUGUUGAUUUCCUUUGUUUGUUGCUUGCCCUCUGGUUGAUUACUAUAAGCCACAUUUGCAAAACAAUGUGGCUCAUUGAACUAGUUGGAAAUGCAAAAUAAUGGUCGACAAUGGAGCAAUUGAAAUUUUAAGCCACUAAUUAGUUGCCAACAAAACAUGUCAAACUGGCGAGGUUGCAUGAAGUCUAGAAUUGAGGCAACUCUUAGAAGCUUGAUGAUCCAAAUUCUGAGGGUGAGGACCACAAGAUCUAUGAAUUUAUCUGAUGCUCCGUUAGAAAAGUUCAAACGUUAUGUUAUGACAUUCUCUGGAAUUUGUAAUUCGGUAGCACGUGAUGCUAUUUCCUAUAUAUACUCCAUUAAUUGUUACUUCUAGUCUUUUUAUUGGGAAUCUUUUGAGAGAAACUGUCUUCAUCUUUUUUAUAAUAAGAUUCACUCUGAAUUGUUUAAUGCAUAAUCCUUCGUCUCUAAUUAUAAGUUUUUUUUCAAAAAUUUAUUUAUUCUUUUUUUGUAAGAUUUUUUUAAUUUUUAGAUAUAUUGAUUUUUUUCUUACAUAUUUUAACUUAAUUAUUCUUUCUCUAAACAAUAAUAAAAAACAAUUAAGAGGAUAAAAAAAUAAGAAAAUGAUUAUUUUGAAAUGAUAAUACACAUAAUUGAUAAAUUUAAUGUGAUAAAUUAAAUUAAUUAUUUUUUUUAAAGAAUGUGAAUUAAUUGAAAGAGUUUUAUAAUUAGGAAUGAAGAGAGUAUUUCUUUUAAAAUAAAAAUAUCCUUAGUGCAGAUGGAUUAAUUGAUUAGGUGACAACAGAUUAAGAGAAUGAAAUUUCAAUAAAGAUAAUUCUGAAACAAAUUUAUACAAAAUGUUAAUAAAUUGAAUACAUUUUAAAUUUCAUAAUUCUUAUACACGUGAAGUAUUUAAGAGAAUCUUAUAUGUAAGACUACAUAAUAUUUACCAUAAGUUAUUAGUCCAAAUAGUAUUUGUUAAGAAAGAUUUUGAAAUUAAGUUUUACAAAUGAAAAAAAAAAUGUAAUUAAAAAGAAAAAUUAUAUUAAUGGUGGUCAAUCAUAUUCUCUGGUACAAAUUAACUAGUGACAAGAUUGUACAUACUUCACAGUUUACACUAAUAAUACGCUUAUAAAAGUUCACUUAAUAUUUAAUGAAAAAAGUGGAGAUCCUUGUUAGUUGUUACUUUUUAAAGUGGAGAUCCUUAUAACAAUAAUUUCUUAAUAAAUAAAAUGUAUUUAAGUUUCAAAUAUUCUAAUCUCAAUUUUCAUAUUCUUCGAAGAACAAUGUUAUUUAUACAAUAAUUUUUUUAACAAUUCUUACCACAUUCACUUUUUUGUAUUUUUUUCUGAUCACAUAAUUUAUCGUAUUGUUUUCUGUUAAGCAAGUGGUUAAGGGGUUCAAAUUCCAAAUCUUGUGUAUGGAGAAAAUCAGUUUGAAAAAGAGACAACCCACCCGCUUUAAGUCUUGAUGAACGAUUGGAGAUACUCCUUGCAAUCAUAUACAUAUAAAAAAUAUACUCUCUUUUCUUAACUCUCUUACGUACUACUAUAAUAUAUCGUAAAAAUUAGACUGAUAAAAAAAUAUAUAUCACAAUUUUUUUAUAUCUUCCUUGUUAAUAACUUGUAAAAUAUUGAGGUAUACAUAUUUGCUGCGUGGAAAAGAAUCUCUUGCUUUUGCCCAUCAGUGUGACACCCUCUACCCCUCACAUAUAUAUUAAUAAAGGAAUAAAAAUUCAAAUAUUAAUUAAAAGUAUUUUUAAAACAUUUUUAAAUACAAGCUUUUCAAAUGGGUAAAAGGCUCACAUUCACUUUCUUCUACAUCAUAUUCAAACUUGUCCAAAUAAAUAAUAAAGUCAUCUCGACUCAAAGAAAGUCAUAUAAGUCUCAUACAAUUAAUAUAGAACCUAUAUCCUAAUGUCACAUCCUAUCAGAGCGUGGUGUUCACGUGUCCUCUAGCAUGAGGUUCUUCAUAGUCAUCCACCUAUUCGUCUGCUCCCCCGAACACAAGUUCAAGAUCAUCACAUGAUCCAAACACAACAACACACAGGGAGUGAGUUAUCACAUUCCUAGCUAAUAGAGAAACAAGACAAUUAAAUAUACAUAUUAUAUAAAUGAGAUACCACUUGCUUAAACAUAGCUCGCGUAACUUCACCACUUCGUCAUUCAAAAUUCACUUUUCAAUUAUCAAUCACAUUACACAAGAAUCCCACACUUCGAUCAAGAUAUAAUAGCACAUCAAUUAGCAAGCAUAUGCAAUAGUUAUGCUAAGACUCAAUUCUAUAUGCAAUGUGGUACCAUGUCAGUGAAAAACCACCCUGGGGCGCUUAGGAGUACAUAACAAGACACACCACACAAUGGGUUUAUCAGGUCACUCUCACUAAGUAAGAUCAUAGGGAGACCAGUCAGGGUCACGAUGUUUUGCGAGAAUGCUCCAACCAUAUGAGAUCAGCAUAGGCUUAAAGGAGCACUCAAACCCGGUGACCCCCAAGGCCUACACUCCGAAGAGUCCGUCAGGGCCUCUCCCUCCUGAUUCAGGUCCAACCCCUAAAAUAAUUUUUUUUACAUGCAGACACUGCUCAUGAAUUAUACAAUACCCACGACCUUACACUCGUGUUUUAAACACGUUCAACACAAUUGCGCUACGAUUUAACACUGGUUCCUAAAUAGGAAACCUACAUUUUCUCUUUAACACUGCGCAUCAACGCUUUUCUCAAGAUAACGCUGGUCGGGUAUUGUACAAUUCAUAGCUUACAACACAAGUAAUUUCACAUCAAGUGUUAACUACACACUUAUCCACAACUAGAACUCAUUCACAAUUUCACAUCUCAUAGUGUCACAAUCCACCAUCACAUGUUUACAAGUAUCUCACAAAUUAACACAUGUUCAACUUUACACUUAUACUCAAUCUCAAUAACAAUAUUAUAAUCUCAAAGCAACAUGUUCUUCUACAAUUCAUCACAUACUCACAAUUUGAAUCAUCAUUUCAUAUCCUCAAUAUAACAAUUUAUAUAAAACACUAUCACAACAUUAGGACUAAAACCCCUUAACUAAUAUUACACAAUUAUAUCAAAAUCAUAGGUCAAAAUAUACAAAUAUCAAGAGCACAAUUUAUCAAGCAAUUUUCAUUAGGACAUCAAUAUUUUAUUUAUAAUCAUAAAGGAAAAAUUGCAAUUUAACAAACAUCCCAAAAUAAAAUUCCAAUUUAAUCCUCUAAGGAUCCCUACACAUGUUCUCACUAAUCCCCAACUGUGAAUAACUCAUCCCUUACCUCUAAGCGGGCUCACGUGUCUUCAGCCAGCGAUAGCAACACCUCUAGCGGUUCCCGGAAAUUCUUUCAAUUAUUCAUCCGACUGCUCCGAUAGAAUUCCCAAACGUCAGAGAGACGGAGAAGAGAUUGAAACCUCCACUUGUACUGUCUUCAUACGAUUCCUUUUUCUCCCUCCACGAAUAUUAUCUCGCAAAUCCCAACGGUGGAAGCGUGCGGAAUUGAAUUUCGAACAACAUAUCCAAAUUAUUUCACAAUAAUCCAACGGUUAACGAAACCGGGAUCGUAGUUUUACCAAGACAGCUCUGGGUUUCUGCGGGAAAGAAAAAGGCUACAAUGCGAAGGGUUUUUCUCUCAGUUCAGACAUGAUAUCAAAAUUCCCAACGGUGAGAAUGCUCGGAAUUAUGUUGCGAACAUGAUACUCAAAUUUCACGACGAUCCAACGGUGAACGGGUUCGAGAUCGUCGUUUUUCUGAGACUGGUUUGGUGGGCUGCGGAAAAAAGAAAGGGUUUUGAGAGGAGAAGGGGAAAAACGAAAAUGAGGCCAAAAGGAGGCAGCUGACUUAACAUAACUAUUUAUACCUAGGGUACUCAGCCUAUUAUUUGCUCUAUAUUUAUUUAUUUAUUUAUUUAUUACUAAAAAGCUUUUUAAAUUUAUUUACGAAAAAUUGGGAUGUUACAAUCAGUCAAGACAAAAAGGAACUACUUAUGGAUAAAAGUCUUAGAACGAAGCAAGAAAUUAGUAGGCACACUAUACCCAAAACAAAAUUUUAUUUUGAAAGAAGCAUUAGCCAGUUAUCAAAUAUCCAUCCACAACCUUUCUCAGCUGUGUCCUACGUAGACAUGAGAAUAUAUUCUAAAUAAUCAAGGAGAUCGAAGUGGAUAAAAAAAUUCUUUCUCCAAUCUUCAGGAUUUUACCAUAAAACCAAUAGUAACUUGCACAAAAUCAAACAGCAUACGUAGGACAUAGUUCUAACUUAAGCUUGCAUAACACCAUCUUUUCUAAUGCUUGUUUGUUGGUUUUUAGAGAAUGAAUGCAGUAAAAAAAAAAACAGAAAUAAAAUACUGAAGGAUAUAUGCUUUGAAGGGAAACGAAUUGGGAGAAUGUUUUAUUCAGUUGCAAACGUAUACAUUUAUAUAUGCUGUAGAAAAUAGAAAAUAAACUAACUUAGAUAAAUCAAAAUUGCUUUCUCCUAAAGUUUAGGAACAACUUUCUAACAAAUUGCAAUAACUACUUUGAUUAGGAGGACUUAUUCAAAAACAGAAAAAUUGAAAAGAAAUAAUGAUCACGUUGUAGUCCAAAGCAGUUUCUUAACACUUCUCCUUGUUUUAAGAUCUGCAAAGUCCUAACUUCUGUUUGAGAAACUCGAACUUGCUAACUGGCAAUUGCUUGGUAAAUAAAUCUACAACUUGGUUCUCUGUUUUGCAGUGGACAAGACUAACAGCUCCAUCUUUCUGUACUUCUCUUACAAAGAACAACUUGAUAUUGAAAUGCUUAGUUUUUCCAUGAAAGACAGGAUUGUGGGAAAUAGCUAUGGCAGCUUUGUUGUCAACAAGAAUCUCAGUGCUCUCAUUCUGCUCCAUGUUAAGAUCAAUCAACAUUUUUUUUAGCCACAAAGCUUGAUUAACAGCAGCUGCAACAGCAAAAAAUUCAGCUUCUACUGUAGAUUGAGCAACAUUCUCUUGUUUUUUUUUAGCUCCAUGAGAAGACACCUGAUCCAAAGCUGAAAUUGUACCCUGAAGUACUUUUCAUAUCAUCAAUUGAAUCACCCCAGUCACUGUCAGAGAAGUCUAUCAGCUUGAACUUUCCAGUUUUCUUGUACUUGAUGCCAAAAUUGCAAGUUCCUUUAACAUAUCUAAUAACUCUUUUUGCAGCCUUGAGAUUCAUUUCACUUGCACAAUGCAUAAACCGAGACAAAAUGCUUACAACAUUUAGGAUGUCAGGCUGAGUUGCUGAAAGGUACAACAAACAUCCAAUCAUGCUUCGGAAGUGUGUUUGAUCUAUCUUCUCGGUUCCAUCUUCCUUGCAAAGCCUUUCCUUUUGAUUCAUCGGAGUGUUCAUUUCUUUGCAUUCUUCAAGUUUAAACUUCUUUAAAAUCUCUUUGGCAUACUUCUUUUGGCAGACAAAGACUUCAUGUUCUCCUUGUUUAAUUUCCAUUCCAAGAAAGAAUGUCAUUAACCCAAGAUCUGUCAUCUCAAACACCACCAUCAUCUCUUUCUUGAACUUCUCUACAAGACUUGAAUUGCUACCUGUCACAUAAAGAUCAUCCACAUACAAUGAAAUGAUAAGAAUAUCAGCUCCAUCUAUUUUGACAUAUAAUGUUGACUUUGACAGACUUUUAGAAAACCCCAAGUUCAGCAAAUGCUCAUCUAUUCUGCUGUUCCAUGCUCUUGGAGCUUGAUUAAACCCAUAAUGGGCUUUCUUGAGAAGAUAAACUUUAUUUUCUUCUUCAUCCUUUAUAAAACCCUGAGGUUGCUCAACAUAAAUUUCUUCUUGUAGGAAGCCAUUUAAAAAUGCUGAUUUAAUGUCAAGUUGAUAAAUUCUCCAAUUCUUCUGAGCAGCCACAGCAAGCAACAACCUGAUGAUGUCUAACCGAGCAACUGGAGCAAAUGUUUCUGAGUAAUUUACUCCAAACACUUGAGCGCAGCCCUUCACAACGAGUCUUGUCUUAUGUUUAUUGAUAGAACCAUCAACAUUAAGCUUUGUUCUGAACACCCAUUUGACUCCAAUCACAUUCUUGUCUUGAGGUCUUUCUACAAGAUGCCAAGUUUGGUUUUUCUCUAUCAUUGAUAGCUCCUCCUUCAUUACAGCAACCCAAACUUGAUUUUUCUUGGCUUCUUCAUAAUUUUUAGGCUAACAUACAACAAUGUUACAUCUGUCAUAGAUAUCAGAGAGCAGUCUAGUACCUCUAACAGGAACAUCAUCAACUAACUCAUUCUGCCAACCUUCAAUUUCGGAACUUGGUGCAUGAAAUUUCAAGUUUAGAUGUUCAGAGGCAUGAUUUUUCAUCUUUGGAUCAUCCCAACUCCAUUCUUUAUCUUCUGCAAAGUGCACAUCCCUACUAACAACAAUUUUUCCAGUUUGUGGUUGGAAGAUUUUAUAGGCUUUGCUUGUUGUACUGUAGCCUAUAAAGAUGCCUGGUGAUGCUCUUUUAUCCAGCUUAUCUCUCUUGCUGGCUGGAACGUGAGUAAAACACAAGCAACCAAAUAUUUUAAGAAAUUUCAAUGAUGGUUUGUAACCAUACCAGGCCUCAAAUGGUGUUUGAUUCAUCAAUGCCUUCGUGGGAAGUCUAUUUUGAAGAAAAACAUGUGUUUGCUGCCUUCGCCCAGAACUUCUUUGGCAAAUUCUUCUUAUACAACAUGCAUCUUGUCAUCUCUAGUAUAUAUCGAUUUCUUCUCUCACUAACUCCAUUUUGUUGUGGAGUAUAGGGAGUGGUGAAUUGAUGUUCAAUGCUAGAAUCUUCACAAAAUAGGUUGAAUUUUUCAGAUGUGUACUUUGUUCCAUUGUCUGACCUCAAAAUUUGAAUUUUUAGACUGCUUUCAUUCUUAACCUUGACUUUGAACUUCCAAAAUAUUUCAGCCACCUCUGAUUUGUACUUGAAAAAAAAAAUCCAACACAUUCUGGUGAAGUUAUCAACAAAUAUAAUGUAGUAAAGAUUGCCUUUUAAUGAAGGAGUUCUUUGUGGCCCUGCAACAUCUGUGUGGAUCAAUUGCAACUUUCUUGACGCUCUCCAUGUUGCCUUUGGAAAAGGUUUUCUAUUUUGCUUUCCAAAUUGACAGGCCUUGCAGAUUGAAAUUUGAUCAUUAAGCUCAAGAACAUCAAGUGCCAACCCUUUUUCAGUUAGCUGCUGCAAUCCUUGUUGAUGAUAAUGCUUGAGCCUCUUGUGCCAGACUUCUGCGAGAUCUUCCUUGAGCGAGAAAACAGCUUGCUCCUCCUCCAAUGGAUUUAGAGUAAAACUUUUCCCUUUCAUUUUCACCUUGAAAAUAUCUUAACCAAUUGCAUCUUUUAUCAAGCAAUAUUUGUCUUCAAAAACAACUUUAAAUCCUCUAUCAAUCAAUUGACCAACGCUUAGCAAACUUUGGUCAAUUUUAGGAACAAAGAGAACGUCAGGAAUAAGCUUUGUGCCAGCAUAACUUGUGAUUGCAACUGUCCCUUUUCCUCUAACUGAGAUAGAAUCGCCAUUUUCAAUUCUGACUUUGGUGAUAUUGGUUGGCCUCAAAUCUCUAAAGAGUGCUUUGUCAAAAGUUAUAUGGUUGGUACAACCACUAUCAAUCAACCAACUUUCACUUGAUUCACUACUCAAGUAACAAGUGGCCACAAACAAUUGAUCUUCCUCUUCCUGAUUAGCAGUGAGCUCCUUCACCUUGAUGAUUUUUAUUGUGGAAAAUCAUAGCUUCAUGCCCCAUUUGGUUGCACUUACUGCAUUUUGCAUAUGGUCUCUUCCAACAUCUGAAUGGAGGGUGACCCAUUUUGCCGCAAUGCUGACAAGGAGGGUAACUUUUCUUUUUACCAUUUCCUUUGUUGGGAUUAUUUGCACUGCUUUCAUUGCUGGUUGGAUGAUUCUUCUUGUAUUUUUUCCUUUUCCAAGUUCCAUCUUGUUGGCUCUUAGCUAGUAGAGCACUUUCAACAGCAUGUUCUUGCCUCAUCAAUCUUUGUUGCUCUUGGGCUUGCAAGGCGUGUAUCACUUCUGCCAAAGUGAUCUUGGAGAGAUCCUUUGCGUUUUUCAAUGAAGCAAUAGAUGUUUCGUACUUUUCCGGCAUUGUUACCAGAAUUUUCUCGACAAUUCUGGAAUCAGCAAAAUCACUUCCCAACAAUUUUAUCUUGUUGGCAAUACUCAACAAUUUGUUUGAUUAUUCUUUGAUUGUCUCAGAUUGUUUCAUCCUUUGCAGCUCAAAUUCUCUCCCUUAAAUUAAGUACUUGCAUACCUCGUAUUUUUUUGUCCCUUGCAUAUUCUUCCUUCAAAAAUUCCCAAAUUUCUUUGGGUGAUUUGAGAGUCAUGAUUCUAGUCUGGAUCAUUUUUGAAACACCAGCAAACAAGCAUGACUUUGCCUUUGCUUUCCUCGUUUUUCCUUCUUUGUGGUUUUUUAUUUGGGCCAUGGCGGGAUUUUCAGGCAACAGUUGAACAACAUAAUUCUCUUCCACAACAUCCCAUAAAUAUAGUCCCUCUAGAUAAAACUGCAUUCUCACUGACCAUAGGUCAUUACCUUCGCCAUCAAAGAGUGGAAGAGCGACUUGAGAGAAAUUUCCUUCCCCUUCCAUUUCACAGGUCUCGUAUGAAGAUAGCUCUAGAUACCAGCGGUUGGUUUUUAGAGAAUGAAUGCAGUAAACAAAAAACAGAGAAAUAAAAUACUGAAGGAUAUAUAAUUUGUAGGGAAACGAAUUGGGGGAAUGUUUUAUUCAGCUGCAAACGUAUACAUUUAUAAAUGCUGCAGAAAAUAGAAAAGAAACUAACUUAGAUACAUCAGAAUUUCUUUCUCGUAAAGUUUAGGAACAACUUUCUAACAAAUUGCAAUAACUACUUUGAUUAGGAGGACUUAUUCAAAAACAGAAAAACUGAAAAAUAAUGAUCACGUUGCAUUUUUUGGCUCUUGGAUUUUUUGGCUUUGUACUUCUUCCUAUCUCUAAGCAUGCAAACUUCACCUUCGCAUAUAAACUCUUUGGAUUCUGAGGACUCAGAGAAGCAGCAAUAGUGAAAGAAAGACAAAGCCAUGGACUGAUCAAGCUUGAAGCCACGUACAAGAAAGAAAAAAUUAACAAAGUGGCUUGCUUAUUUAUUUGCAUGCCUGAUAUGAUGCUAUAUUUAACAUAUAAUAUACUAAUAUGAACACAUUUUUGUGAUGUAGUGGGUGACAAGUAGCAUAUGAAAAAACAUUAAAAUAAUGGUCAAAGAUUGCACAAUCUGUCAGUGUCAGCAAUGAAAACACGUCUUGUUGCUUUGUUGACAAUUGUUAGGGACAAGAGUAGUUGCCACGAAACACAGUUGGACUGUCAUGGUAGCUGAAGUCAACAACAAUGGAUGAAUGCCAAAUGAAGGAGUAAAUAAAUAACCACUUUCUUCCUUGAUGUAGGAUGGCAAGGGGCAGGUAGGAUUGGUGAUGAAUUUGGUUCUCUUGUGUCCCCACAAAAGGUGGAGCGGAUAGGUUAUAAAAGUGAGGGAUUUAAAAUUUAAAUACUUAUCUCCAUUUUCAUGGGAUGUUAUCGGAUUUGAAUAUACUUUGUGGAUAAUUUAAUUUACUAUACACUAUUUUAUAAUUUUAAUUUACUUAUAUAUUUGUAAAUAAAUUAUAUAUUAAGUUUUUAAUUAUAUUUUUAUCCAAAUAAUAUAUAAAUAUAAUGAAAGAAAUUAAAGAUAAAAAUGUAUAUUUUAAGUUUGUUAUUUAAGUUAAUUGAUUUAUAUUUUUGAAAAUUAUAGAAAUAAAAUAUUAUAUAUAUAUAUAUAUAUAUAUAUAUAUAUAUAUAUAUAAUGCAUAUAUAUGUUGUGAAAUUUUUUUUAUAAAAAAUAUAAUGGUGACGAGUAUAGAUAUGAUGAAUAUAAUUUGAUACUUAUUUUCGCUUCAAAAGUUCGAAUAAUAUCCAUAUCUAAUCAAAGCAAAUAUUUUCCAUCAAAGUUCGAACCAGUUCGAAGUGGUGCUCACGGGUAUGAGAUUAUUAUUUGUCAUGCCGCUAGGUGAAGAAAGUGAAUCCAUGUUGUCACAUAAAUUUGUAAAUCAAAGAAAAUUCACCCCUUGAAAAUAUAAUUCUUCACUUACAUUAGUUUAAGUUUUUAAGGCAUGUGUGAGUGAUAAUAUAAUAUAUGUAAAUAUAAAAGAUUUAGAUAUGUUUAAGGUUAUUUUAUUUGAACUCAUUGUCAUUAAUGACAUAACAUCGUCUCAAUUAGUCAUAUAUAUUAAGAACAACAAUUACUUACAUAUAUUGAUAACAACAAGUUGUCAUGUAAAUAAGUUAAUAGUAGACUUCAUAUUUACACACUUACACUAAUUCAACCCGAAUACAUUUAAAAGAUGCAUGAUUCACCCAACUUAAAAAGCUAACUGAGUGGCCUUCUUAAUGUGGCGUAGGUUUUAAGUAAAGAAUUACUAAAAUGUUCACCAAUAGAGAAGUAAAGAAUUACAAAAACUUGAUGCUCAGGAAAGAAUUUAGGGAAACUUGCAGAAUCUAUCUUUUCUAAAUAAGAGGGCGAAUAAUCUUCAAGGUAUUUCGGAGGGAAAAGGAAUAAAAAAUAGAACCAUUCAUUUAAUUGGAGAUAUAUAAAAGCUCCAUUUUCUUCUACGGACUAGAAGUAAGCGUUGACUAUAAAUUUAAAUUUAUACACAUCUAAAUAUGUAAAUCAAUUUAAAUGUCAUAUUCAGAUCAAACAAUGGAAGCAAAAGAAGCGCAAGCGUACCUCCAACCAUUACAGAUCGAACGCGAAGCGACGCAAGCACGAACCCAAAGGUAACUUUGUUUUUUCAGACCUUUACUUACUUUGAAUAGAUGGUGUAUUUUUUUUCUGAAUAAAGAAGUAGACUUGGUGAUACAAAACUGAGAGCACUCCAUCCUAUUUAUAGAGUCUGCCCAUCACAGAGCUCACCAAUUUGUAUUAGAAUGUGGGUUUGAGGAUAGGGACGUGAGUUUGUUACUGAACGUGGCAAAGAUAAGGGUUGAACAUGGGAGGAAAAUGGACCAGAUUUAGAAAAUAAAUUCUCGAAAAAACUACAAUGGGAAAAAAUAGUGGAAGGACAACGUGGACCCAUCCGAAAUUCCAUCAUUCUCCCACUUGGUUCAUUUAACUCAAUAUCAACCAUAACAAGAAACAUAAUAUAUGAGUUAUGACAAUAGGUUCUCUGAUGAUGAGUAAUAUCUUCCAUGUACCAUAAUAUAUCAAGUCUUUCAACACUAGCUCUCAACUUAAUGAAUAAACCAUAUGUUUAUUCUAGAUCUAAACUGAAUGAUUUUUCUCGAAAUAAAUAAAUAUGUGCACAAAUCCAUAUGAGAAAAUAUCUAACUGAAUAAGAGUUUCAUUGAAAAUAACAAAUGUACGUACAAUGAAAUUACAUCAUGGAACCAAGUCUCAUUCAUACUACAUGAUCCUUAAAAUUCUUUGGUGGCAUGCCUUUAGUUAAAGGAUUAGCAAUCAUCAACUCAGUGCUGACGUGUUCAAUGACCACUUUCUUCUCUUUAACACGUUCCUUUAUGGCUAAGUACUUGAUGUCGAUGUGCUUACUUCGACUUCCACUUUUGUUGUUUUUAGCCAUAAACACCGCUGUAGAGUUGUCACAGUACAACUUUAAUGGCUUGGAAAUAGAGUCCACAACUCUAAGGCCAUACAUGAAACUCUUCAACCAUACACUAUGCGAGGUAGUCUCAAAACAGGAAACGAACUCAGCCUCCAUAGUGGAAGUAGUAGUUAAGGUUUGCUUGGUACUUCUCCAAGAUACAGCUCCACCGACUAACAUAAAAAUAUAACCAGAUGUUGAUUUUCGUGAAUUAACGCAACCAGCAAAGUCUGAAUUGGAGUAGCCAAUCACUUCCAGACAAUUAGUCCGUCUAUACAUGAACAUGUAAUCCUUUGUCCCUUGAAGAUAUCUCAUUACUUUCUUUGCAGCUUUCCAGUGGUCAAUACCUGGAUUACUCUGAUAUCUUCCCAAAACUUCAACAACAUAUGCAAUGUCAGGUCUGGUGCAUAUUUGAGCAUAAAUAAGGCUUCCAAUAGUUGAAGCAUAUGGAGUAUUCUUCAUGUGUUCCCGCUCAAAAUCAUUUUUCGGGCACUGACUCAAAGCGAGUUUGUCACCCUUCACAAUGAGAGCUAUACUUGAUGAACAAUCUUUCAUGUUAAAUCUCUCUAAAACUUUGUUAAUAUAAGUUUCUUGAGACAAACCCAAAAUGCCUCGAGAUCUUUCCCUAUGGAUCUUAAUGCCAAUGACAUAAGAUGUCUCUCCCAUAUCCUUCAUAUCAAAGUUCUUCAAGAGAAAAUGUUUCACCUCAUAUAGCAAACCCUUAUCAUUAGUUGCAAGCAAAAUGUCAUCCACGUAUAACACAAGAAAACAAAUCUUACUCCCACUAACCUUUUGGUAUAUACAUUGAUCCAUGAUGUUCUCUUCAAAGCCAAAUGAAGUAAUGACAUCAUGAAACUUCAGAUACCAUUAGCGGGAGGCUUGUUUCAAGCCAUAGAUUGAUUUAUUAAGCUUGUAAACUAAGUGCUCACCUUUAGUAGAGGAAAAUCCUUUAGGUUGUUUCAUGUAAACCUCUUCCUCUAAAUGACCAUUAAAGAAUGUCGUUUUCACAUCCAUUUGAUGUAACUCAAAGUCAAAAUGAGCUACUAAUGCCAUAAUUACUCGAAAGGAAGCUUUCUUAGAUACAGGAGAAAAAGUCUCUGUGUAAUCAAUUCCUUCUCUUUGAGUGAACCCUUUGGCAACAAGUCUUGACUUAUGUCUCUCAAUGUUGCCUUGUGAGUCUUUCUUGGUUUUAAAAACCCAUCUACAUCCAAUUGCUUUUACACCACUAGGAGACUGUACGAGAUCCCAGACUUGGUUAAACGCCAUAGAAUCCAUCUCAUCUUUCAUGGCAUUGUGCCACAAGUUUGAUUCUUUAGAACUUAUGGCCUAUGAAAAUGUUUCAGGAUCAUUUACAACUCCAAUGUUGUAAUCCAAUUCUUGUAGAUACACUACAUAAUCACUAGGAAUUUUUGACCUUUUGACUCUAGUAGAUCUUCUUAAUGUUACCUCAUCACUUUCUUGAGGAACUUGUUGCUCAACUGGUUGUUCAAUAGGUUGUUCAACAUUAUCUUGAUAUUACUCAUCAAUAACUUGAUCUGUAUGAUUGUUUCCAAUAAUUUGUGGAUUUCCAAUCAUUGGUUGUCUAACACCAGUUUGUACUUGAAGGGUGUGAAUGACAAUCAAUCUGUCACUUGAGCUAGUGGGUUGAGCUUCAUAGUGAUCCUUUUCAAAAGCAAUGUCCUGAAAUUGAUCACUCCUACUAAUCAAGUCAUUCUUAAGAAAUUUUGCAUUUCUUGAUUCCACAAUCCUAGUUCUAUGUGAUGGACAAUAGAAUCUAUACCCUUUGGACUUUUCAGCAUAUCCAAUGAAAUAUCAACUAAUAGUCCUUGGGUCUAGUUUCUUCUCUUGUGGGUUAUAAACUCUCACUUUAGAUAGGCAUCCCCAAACGUGUAUAUGUCGCAAACUCGGUUUCCAACCUUUGAAUAACUCGAAAGGUGUCUUUAAGAGAGCCUUGGUUGGAACUCGAUUUAGUAUACACACAACUGUCUUUAAUGCUUCAAUCCACAAGAAUUGAAGAAGUUUUCUAUUACUUCUCAUACUUCUUACCAUGUCCAUUAAAGUUCGGUUUCUUCUUUCUGCCACACCAUUCUGAUCCGAAGAACCAGGCAUAGUGUACUGGGCAACAAUCCCAUGUUCCUGAAGAAACUUUGCAAAUAGACCAUGUGCUUGUCCAUUCUCUGUGUAUCUACCAUAGUACUCUCCACCUCAAUCAGAUCUCAUGAUCUUAAUUUUCUUUCCACAUUAUUUCUCGACUUCAGCCUUCAAAAAUUUUAAAGGCAUCCAAAGCUUCAUCCUUAGUACGAAGUAAGUAGAGAUACAUAUAUCGUGAAUAAUUGUCUAUAAAGGUGAUAAACUAUUUCGAACUACUUGCAUCCAUAUCUGGACAACAAAUAUCUAUAUGUAUGAUUUCUAAUAGGUUUAAGUUUCUCUUUGCACCUUUUUUAGACUUGUUAGUUUGCUUACCCUUAAUGCAAUCCACACAAGUCUCAAAAUCAAUAAAAUCCUAAGUACUAAGUACUUCUUCAUUUACCAAUCUCUUAAUUCUCUCAAUAGAGAUGUGUCCUAAUCUACGGUGCCACAACAUAGAGGAUUCCUUAUUCAUAACACAUCGUUUAACCCCGGCGGUAACAUGCAUAGAAUUAUAAGCAGCAUCAUUUUGCAAUUCAAUAUAGUAAAGACCAUCGAGUAAUGCACUAGAACCAAUAAUUCUAGAUUUAUCAAUUAAAGUAAAACCAGAAUCCGAAAAAUUAAAAGAAAAACCCAAUGGCGCAAGUCUCGAUAUAGAAAUCAAACUCUUAGAAAAACUUGGAACAUAAAAAGUCUUUUCUAAACGUAAAAUGAAACCGCUGCUUAAAACCAAAUUGCACGUUCCAAUGGACUCCACAUGUGAACUCAUAUUGCCUCCUGAAUAGAUGUGUUGCUCACUUCCCAUUGGCCUCCUUAGGUUUUCCAUACCUUGUAAGGUAUUAGAAACAUGGAUUGUAGAACCAGAAUCAAUCAACCAAGUGUUAUGAUUAAUACUAACCAUAAUAGAUUCAUAACAAACAAAAGCAAAUGGAGUACCUUUCUUGUCCAUCCAGCUCUUAAACUUUAAGCAAUCUUUCUUCAUGUGCCCUUUCUUCUUGCAAAAGAAACACUUGGACUCUUUCUUUAUGACUGACUGAGCAGGAAUAUUGCCCUUGUUUUUGGGUUAAUCCCCUUUCUUCUUUCCAUGAACGGUUAAGUUCACCCUUUCGCCUUCUUCCAUAAUUAACCUUUCCUCUUCUUGAACACACAUGGUCAUCAACUCAUUAAUUGAACAUUUUUCUUUAUGUGUGUUAUAAGAGAUUUUGAAGGGAGCAUAUUGCAAGGGCAAAGUACACAAAAUAUAAUGUACUAGGAAAGAAUCAGACAUUGUAACCUCUAAGGCUUUUAGUUGAGCCACUAUAUUCCUCAUGCGCAUGAUGUGAUCACGUACAUCCCUUAUCCCUUGGACCUUUAAGGAUGAGAGCUGCAUUAUAUGGGUGCUGGCAAGGGCCUUAUCAGAUGUAAUAAACUGAUCAUCAAUGGCCUUCAAAAGAUCCUUGACUUUUUCAUGUUGAUCGACAGAACUACGAAUACUAGCAGAUAUAUUAGUCUUUAUGAACAUUACGGAUAGACGAUUAGAUCUCUCCCACUUUUCAUAAAGAUCGACAAUGUCUAGAGUGUUAGUUUCAGUAAUGCCUAGCGGCUCAUCUUUCCUAAUAGCAUAGUCAAUAUCCAUCCAGCCUAAAUGAAGGAGAAUUCUCUCCCUCCAAACCUUAUAAUAGUCCCCUUUCAAUUCAUGAAUGUCACACUUAAUAUCAAAAAUGUUUGCAGAUUGAUUAACUACAAAGUUCAAGAAUACAUUCUCAUUAUUCAUAAUUUGAGACUCAAUAAAUUGUCAUGUUUUACCAAUAUAAAAUAUGUAUUAGUUCAUGAACCUAGUGACAUACAACUUGCCUGUGGGCCAAAGUCUUACUCAAUUAUAUUCAUACUUAUGAUAAAACUAUUAAAUUAUGUUUCAUUUUCUCAAUUCCUGUGGGUAAAUUAAGAAAUAUAACAUGAUAUUUUAUCCUAAUUAAUCAUACAAACAUAACAAAAUUCUUGUGGGUAUAUUUUAUCACAUUAAAUAUGAUUAAUCACAAUCAAUGUUUUUUAAAGUGAUUUUUUUAUACUUAAUAUAUAAACCUAAUCAAUUAAAGAUGUUGUGGCUAUUCUUUAAUUAAUUAAAUCAUAUUAGUCACUUAACAUUAAUUCUUAAUAAGAGCUAAAUAUUUACAUAAUAUUCUAAGUAAUGUAAAUAAAUUGAAUAACAUUGCAUAAAAAUAUUCAAGAUAAUUUCGCAUGUAUAAAAUCAUAAAAUCAUACACACAAAACUUCAAAAGUAAAUAAAUAAUAUAUGCAUAUGAUUAUCCAAGAUUUAAAACAUAUGAGCUCUUAACCAUUAAAUUUAAUGUGCAUAAAUUAUUUAGCUUAAUAUUGCAUGCUUAAAUACCAAAAUAAACAUACAAUUAAUCUUAAUAAAUAAAUAAUUCAAACACACUAAAAGGCACUUAACAACUCAUAUUUUAAUCAUGUUGAUUAAGUAGAAAAAUAAUAAAUUAAUAUGCUUUUUACUACGGAUGAAAGAUGACCUUAUUAUAUAUAUAUAUAUAUCUUCUUUCACUCCUCUGUUUCUCUCUCCUCCGAUGGCUUCACACUUUUCACUCUAAAGUCUGCUGUGGAUGCCUCCUACGCCGCCGCUUUCUCUAAUUGGAAUGACAACGGCCCCAACAUCUCCGACCUCCAGCCAAUAAAUGGGUUUAUGACUCCAGCCAUACCAAAUAGAACAACUUUACUCACAUAUAGUUCCAAAACAAAAGCAAGACAGAGACAUAUAGUGCUCUGAUACCAAAUGUAAAUUUAUACACAUGCUGAUCUAAACAUGUAAAUCAAUUUAAAUAUCAUAUUCAGAUCAAACAAGAGAAUCGUACCUCCAGUCAUUGCAGAUCGAACGCGAAGCGGCGUAAGCACGAACUCGAAGGCAGCUUUGUUUUUCUAGACCCUUACCUACUCUAAAUAGAUGGUGUAUUUUUUUUAUGAAUAGAGAAGUAGGCUUGGUGAUACCAAAGUGAAAGCAUCCCAUCCUAUUUAUAGAGUUUGUCCAUCACAGAGCUCAACCAAUUUGUAUCAGAACGUAGGUUUGAGGAUAAGGACGUGAAUUUGUUAUUGAACGUGAUAGAGAUAAGGGUUAAAUGUGAGAGGAAAAUAAACCAGAUUCAGAAAAUAAAUUUCCGAAAAAAUUGCAACAGGAAUAAUCAGUGGAAGGGAAACGUGGACCCAUCCGAAAUUCCGUCAUUGAGUGCCUGCCUGUCAUUGAGUGCCUGCCUUACAUAUCUCAACAGGUAACAUUUAAUAUUACAAACCUUUUCUAUCUUAUCAUUUUCAUUGCCAUAAUCUAUUUCAUUUCGGAUUAUACUUCCACACACAACACAAAAGCAUGAAGUUAAUUUAUUUGUCAUUUAUUAACACCACCCUUUGAGAACCAUUUUUGUAUAUUGUUUCAAAAUUGUUAAAUCCUCGGUCCAGUUGUUUAAGUUACGACAUUUAAAUUAUGAAUAUGAGGAUUCCAUAUUAAUGCAUAAUGUAGUCUGCAAUAAUGGGUUCCUCUUUUAUUUCUUUAUUCCUUACCCUGAAAAUUUAUCAGAGGAUAUAUAAAAGUAGUUGAUUAAUUUCCAAGCUAUUCCAUUAUUUUGAUCCUAGCUAUAAAAGAAAUAAAACAUCACGUUUUAACUUGUAAUCACUUUUUAAACCAUUUCUAAACCAUGCAUUUUUCAUCAAUCAAAACGUAUUUUCAUGAAUUAGAAACUUUCUACUGCACACGCACACCCUUUUCUCCUCACAUUCUCAUCUUGUUCUUACAUUUGGUUCAUGGAAAUACCAUGGCUGUGUUGGUGGCUUUAUCUAUGGAUCAAGAAGGGGGGAUUUUCAAGUCAAAGCAUCACUUUCUUCACAAAGUGCACUCCUUUCUUUAGAUCUACAAGGGUAAGGGAUAUAUAUAUAUAUAUAUAUAUAUAUAUAUAUAUAUAUAUAUAUAUAUAUAUAUAUAUAUAUAUAUAUAUAUAUAUAUAUAUAUAUGCUUGCCUUGUUUUCCACUCAAUAUUAAUAUGUUUAAAAUUUAAAUGAUGUGGUUGUUGUUUGUUUGGAUAAAUAUUCUUUGCCUGAUGAGUCAUUGUGCCUAAGAAUUUGUUGAGUAUGAUGUCAAGCAUUUUCGCACUAUACAUGCUUGAUUAUUUCAAUUACAUCUCAAUAUUGUAAACUAGUUUUGAAAAGGUUACAAAACUAGAAACUAGACUUCUUGAGAUUCAUUUUAGACACAAAUUCCAUUUAAAAAUUUUAACUGUUUUUGAUCACUCAAAUCUUGUGACAAAAUGAACCUACUGUCAUUGAACUUUUUCCAACAUAAGUUAUUUCGAUGAUUUCUCUUUUUAUACAAAACUUUUGUAAAAGCCAACCAUAGAUUUGCAAACUAAACUCUAAGGGGUCAUUCGGAGUGAUUGUCAGAGUUUUUUAUUUUUUAUUUUUAAAUGUAUUUUUCAAAACAAAACAUGUUUGAUAAAAAUAGUUAAAAUUGUUUUUACAUUAUUUUUGAAAUACUUUUAUACUCUUUUUCAAAAUCAAAAAAAGAAGAUUUUGUAAAUUUGAUUUUUAGUUAAAAAACAUUUCAUACAUUUGACAAUGAUAUAUUUUACUGUCAUCAUUACUUUCAUCAUCACUCUCAACACGAUCAUCAAUACCACCUUCAUGAUCGUCACCACCUGUUAGGGAAGGAAACACAAGGUCAAAAACUUAUGAACAGAAGGAAAGAAGGCUUAAUUAAUACUUUUUUCAUGUCCAUUCAUUUCAAUACACCACCUAUAUAUAGCAACAUGCAAUUGUUACAUGACAAAAGCUAAUAACAGAAUCACAAAAGUACUAUUGGCUAAUAACAAAAUCACAAAAGCAUAAAAGUACUAUUGCAAUUCCCAUAACAGAAUAACAGAAUUGGUGCCAAAUCCAUUAGAGUAAUCCUUUAACAGAAUAACAGAAUUGCUCCUGGGGUCUUUCACCGUGGGCUUGUUGGAUCAUUAUCUUCCUUUACCUAUCACCACCACACCAUCUCCAUCAUAACCAUAACUUAAUUGCUAUCACUAUCACGACCACCAACAUCACUAAUUUUGUUAUUGUCAUUGUCACCACCAUUACCAUUACCACUGACAUUGUUACCAUCACCACCACUUGUUACCAUCACCACCACUAGCAUCAAUGUCACUGUCACCACCAUUACCACUAUCACCUUCAUCAUCGCCACCAAACGUUGUUGCAACCACUACUACCUCCACCAUCAUUACUACUUGGUGCCACCACCAACACCGCCAUCGCCACCACCACCACCACCACCGCUACUAUCACUAUUGUCACCAACAUCAUCAACAUUGUUAUCACCACCACCACUAAUACUACUUCUGUCACUGCUGUCGCCGCCACCACCAUCAUUGACUGUCACAACCACAUUAUCACUACCCCCACCAUUGAUAUCAUGACCACCACUGUCACUGUCACCGUGACCUCCACCAGUAUUUCUACUAUCGUUGCUGCUGCUGAUGUUACCACCAUCACCACAUAAAAGCAGUCGUAAACUAAUUUUAAUACAACAUGAAACUUUCAAAAUGAGUUUAAUUAAAAUUAGUUAUAUUUUUAAAACUAAUUUACAAUUUUUUUGAAACUAAAACUAAAAAAUGGUAGUUAUUUUUAAAAAAUUUCAAAACUCAAUUAAAAAUCACCCAAACAUGACCUAAGUUUUCAUUUGAUGGGUCCUUUUAUUAAAAACCCUUUCAUUUGAGUGGUUAAGUCUAUAUCUCAAAUAAUGUGGACAUACUUGUGAUAAAAGUGACUUUAUUAUCUAAUAAAUGAAUGCUAGUUCAUGUCUUUUUUUUUUUACAUAUUAAUGUCUGAUUAAAGGAUUAAAAAUAAAAUUAUUUUAUGAAAUUAUAUUAUCAUAAUUUUAAUUAAUUUUUAAUUUGUUAAUUUCUUAAUUAGUAUUGCUCUCUCUUUAAUAAAACUCUUAAUUAAUUAUUUGACGCACGUUUUUUUAUUUAUUAGUAUUUAUAUAGCCUGCUGCUGAUGGUAAUAAGAAGCUAAUAUAUAGAAGAGCCAUUACUUCAGCUUUCUGUAAAAGCACAGUGGAGUUCAGUUUAAGUGAAAAGGAAGACAUACCAACAAGCAACUAUAUACAUUGAUAUAUAUUCUUGCUGCUCUAUUCAACAUCUGUAUAUAUAUGGAACUAUGGAACAAUGGGCACCUCGUGGAGCAUGGGCAGGUAAGACCAAUUGGGCCAUUGUCUUAGACCUCCCACCAAGUUCUUAAUUUUAUAAAUAUUUAUAAAAAUUAAUUUAAAUUUAAAUUAUUAGGUAAUAUAUUUUAUUAUAUUAUUUAUUAUUAUUUAUUUAGUAAAAUUAUAAAAUUUUAAUAUAUGUAUACACACAGAUAUAUUAAAUCAUUUGAGAAGUUUAUAAUUGAUUUGAAAAUUAUAGAAAAAUUAGUUUUCUUUUACUUUAAAUUAAAAAUGAGCAUAUUAUAAUGAAUAUAGUGAUUAAAUUUUAUAAAAAAAUAUGAUGUGUGUUUUGAUGAAAAUGAGAGUGGUGAGAUUGCACAUUUUUCUUUUGUAAAAGAUAAAAUUACUUUGCACUUUUUAUUUGAAUCAUAAUAAUUGAAAAUUGUAAAUUGUUGGUGGUUAUGUUAACAUUGGCUAAGAUCAAAGAUGUCAAAGGUGAAUAUAAUGUAUAUUUUUUUGUUUCAAUCUAAUGUAUGACUGCAUAUUAUUACAUGUAAGUAUAACAUUUUUUGUAGACAAGUAUCUCCUCAGUGUCCAAAAUAUAAAAAAUGACUCCAAGUUGUAUGUGAACAUCGAUGAUAUUGCCGAGAUAAAGAAGUUCCGUAAUAGGUACGAUAACUGCAUACAAAGUUAUAUAUUUUGUUUAUAAUAACAAAGUUAUAUAUUUUCUUCAUUGUAGUUUAUGUGUCCCAUUUUAUGUUGGUGGAGUAUUAGAUGAAGGGAGUGGUUCGCAGUCCAAGUAUUCACAAAGAAGCGCACAGGAUAAGUUCUUGCAUAAUGCUCAAAUGGUGAAGUUAGGUGACAUAAGCAGAUUGAGAGAGGUAAGAACAACAAUUUUUUUCACUUAUUUGGUAUAUUGUGUAUGAUUAUGUUAUGCAAUUGUUAUCAGACCUUAUCUGUGUAUCAGGCCUUUCCACUUUCAAUUGUUAUUUUUUUUAAUUCAAUUUCAAUUGUUAUUUAUUUUAAUUCAAUUAGGACUGUUUCUGUUUGACCAUUGCUACGGUGGAUGAAAUCCUAAUUGAUACACCAUGGAAUUAUGAUAGUUGUUCCAACUGCACUACAACAUUUGAUCCGUUAAAAAUAGUGGGUACUUGCCGUUCGUGCCAGAGCGAAGUUAGUCAUACGGUUCCUAGGUAUAAUGUAUUUAUUCCCAAAUGAGUUAUAAUGUACUUAACAUUCAAGUGUUUACUCAUGGAUAUUCUGUUGUUAGGUAUAAAUUAGUUGUGAAAAUGGAGCACAAUGGGGACAAAGCUAACUUUCAUUUCGAGUACAGGUUUGUCAUCUAUUCUAUUUCUCUAGUUUUGUGUUUGUUGAAAUUUUAAUAUUGUUUGCAUUCUUUAUUGUUCUGAAUUGGGUUUGGUCUUUGUUGCAGUGGUUGUUAAUGUCAGAGUCACCGGCGAUGCUUCUAUUCUGAAGCAAUCCAAAUUCAAGGUAUCCCCUUUCGCCCUUCCUUUUUAAUAGGUAUGUUCUUCUGAGUUAUACUUAAUUUGUUGCAAGUGCAAGUUUGUGGGUGAGAGAGAUGGUUCUUAAAUCUAAGUUGAUGAUGGAGAUGUUCUUUUGGUUGGAUUUUUGUAUGCUUUUCAAUUGCGUGAUUAUUUGAAUUUUCAUCAUUGGUUAGGUUGACCCAAAUUAAUAUUUACAUCUUAAAUUGUAUGUUUAAGACCUUCUAUUUGGACUUUUAGAGAAUUUUACCCAGACUUUCAUUUAAAUAAGUAACUAGCAUUUUACUCCUAUUUGAAUAUUACCAACAUGUGUUCAUUCUCAGAUUUGAGGUUUCUUAAUUGUUAAAUAUUAAUAAUCUUUUAAAAAAUUUAUAAAAAAACUAAUUUGUAUAUUCAAACAGAUAAUACAGGCUGAAAAGGCUGUUAAUGUAUAAAGAUGUAACAUUGUCUGAAAAGGCUGCUAAUGUAAUUACAAUUCAAAGUACAAUGUCAAACACACAUAACAUAUGAGGUUCCAUCUUCAAUUAGCGUCUCUGAUCCCUUACAAUAAAUCUCAACAACUUUAAUCCGUAGAGAGGAAAAGUGUUAGUGUUGGAUCAAUGGUCUGCAACAGUAAAUGUAUACAAUAAGUAAAAAAAAUCAAUCACAAAGUAGACAAAGAAAGAUAACUUACAUGUACUUCAAGCAUAUGAAGCUGUACAUUUCAUUGUCUCUUGGUUCUGCAAAGGUGAACAACCACUUUCACUAAAGUGCAGGCUUUUUUCGAAAGCCCAAGUGAUAUUAUUUGGAAACAACCAACAUUGAAUAUAACUAAAUAAUAAAUAUAGCAUAGAAAAAUUGAACCCACAAACAUAGAAUAUAACAUAAUAAUAUUUGUAGUUUUGCUAGCAAUGUUUAAACAGAAACAAAAGAAAAAAAAUUGUUCGUUACCCGAGGGUAAUUAAGUUACAAACAUAAUAUAUCAAAAUAAAACAAAGAUAAGUAAUUAAAUAGUUCUUCAAGGGGAGUCAACUUCAUCCUCUUCGUCAUCCCAUUUAACUUGCUUCCUAUAGAGGACCUCCCAUAAAUGUUGAUCAAUGUUGUAGAAGAAGAUGACCUCAUCUCCAGGCUUCAAAUGACAUUCACCUAAAUAAUGGAUCUAGGCCUCAACAACACAUGAUAGGCCAUUAUUCAUGGUGAUGAUCCAUUUGUGAUGCCUACCACUACCACGAUCUACAAUCAUAUUUUUUUUUAUGCAGUUAAAUAAAUUGAAGCCUCUGGUGACAAAACCUAGGUUAGAAGGAACACAAUGAUUAAAAAAUAAGAAGUUAACAAUAAAUAAUAUAAAGGAUUAUGAUUAUAUUAACAAAGACCUACCAAUUGAUAAUUGUGUUGUAUCAUAUCUUCAGAAACAUCAAUGGUAAAAACAUGGUUCCUUAUGGUUGUGGCUACCCUUUGGUGUAGAGGUCCCACAAUGUCCACACUGAAAGUAGUAUUUUUGUCCCUUCCAACAAAACACAUGACAACACUUUCGUGAAUGCCAUGGGUUCUCCUAAGUUCCUUCAGUCCAUCGCCAAAAAAAAAUCGGUUACCAUAUUUAUGAAGCUUUAUAAAGUGUUUGUUUCUUUCGUAGUCGAAUAACACAUAAGUUGGAUAAUUUGGGGACCAUUGUCUAUGAUAAGCAAAAUGAACCUCAAUGACUCUGCACAUUAACAUUUCAAACAUAUUAUUUAUUUGAUAUUAACAUAAAUAAGUAAAUGUUUAGGGGUGAAAGUCGUGACCUGAUCAAGAUGGAAUGACGCGUCAAAUCGAUGCACAAUUCUCGAUACAUGUAAAUUUGAUGGGCCCUAGAUGAGAAACGUUUAUGUAAUGAGUAAUUGAACAAACAUGUACCGUUAAAGGAGAAGAUAAAUAUGAGCAUAUCGAACAUGUACUAUGAACGAAAAGAGCAAGCAGAGAAGGAUGAAGGAUGCAUGAUGAAGCAAAACUCGAACAUAUAUUUAUAAGAAGGUAAACAUAAAGGAUGGAAAAGUUAAACUUACAGCAUCAGACACAUUCGAUGAUGAUGUAUUCAUAGUGUUUUGUGUUUGGAGAUAUUCUUCGACAAAUGGGUGAAGAUUUGGUGAUACUGGGUGGUUAUAGAUAUAUAUAAUACUGCGUUUUAAUUAUGGGAGGGGGAGGGUGAACAGUUAUCAAGAACAGUUAACAAUGUACAAAGUAACCGAUAAUCUUUUCGUUCAUAGUACAUGUUCGAUAUUGCGCAUAUUUAUCUUCUCCUUGUUCACUUACUCAUUACAUAAAUGAUUGCCAUCUAGGGCCCGUCAAAUUUGCAAGUAUCAACAAUUGUGCACCGAUUUGAGGCGUCAUUUCGUCUUAAGAAGGUCACGAUUUUCACACCUAAAAAUUUAUCUAUUUAUGUUAAUCUCAAAUAAAUAAUAUGUUUAAAAUGUUAGCGUGCAGAACAUCAUUGGGGUUCCUUUUUCUUAUCAUAGACAAUGGUCCUCAAAUUAUCCAACUUAUGUGCUAUUUGACUACAAAGGAAACAAGCACUUUAUAAAGCUUCAUAAAUAUGCUAACCGAUUCUUUUUUGGCGAUGGACGGAAGGAACUUAGGAGAACCCAUGGAAUUUAUGAAAGUGUUAUCAUGCGUUUUGUUGCAUGGGACAAAAAUACUAAUUUCAAUGUGGACGUUGUGAGACCUCUACAUAGACAAACACACCAAAGGUCAUCCACAACCACCAGGCGCCAUGUUUUUACCAUUGAUGUCUCUGAAGAUAUGAUACAACACAAUUAUCAAUUGGUAGGUAUUUCUUAAUAUAAUCAUAAUCCUUUAUAUUAUUUAUUGUUGACGUUUUAUCUUUAAUCACUGUGUUCGUUCUAACCUAGGUUCUGCCACCAGAGGCUUCAAAUUAUUUAUCUUGAUCAAAAAAAAUAUAUGAUUGUAGAUCAUGGUCGUGGUAGACUUUACGAAUGGAUGAUCACCAUGAAUAAUGGCCUAUCAUGUGUUGUUGAGUCCUGAAUCCAAUAUUUAGCUGACAGUCAUUUGAAACCUGGAGAUGAGGUCGUCUUCUUCUACAACUUUGACCAACAUUUAUGGGAGGUCCUUUAUAGGAAGCAAGUUAAAUGGAAUCAGGAAGAGGACGAAGCUGACCCCACUUGAAGAACUCUUUAAUUAUUUAUGUUUAUUCUAUUUUUAUAUAUUAUGUUUGUAACUUAAUUACCUUCGGGUAACAGACAAUUUUUUUUUGUGUUUACUUUCUGUUGAACAUUGUUAACAAAACUACAAAUAUUAUUAUCUUAUAUUCUAUGUUUGUGGAUUCAAUGUUAUUAUUUUGUUAUAUUCAAUGUUUGUUGUUUCCAAAUAAUAUGAGCUCGGCCUUUGAAAAAGGCCUGCACUUUAGUGAAAGUGGUUAUUCACCUUUGCAGAACCAAGAGACAUUAAAAUGUAGAGCUUCAUUUGCUAAAAGUACAUGUAAGUUAUUUUUCUUUGUCUACUUUGUGAUUGAUUUUUAUGUAUUUAGUGUAUACAUUUACUGUUGCAGACCAUUGAUCCAACGCCAACACUCCGUAGUGCUUUCUUCUAUGCGAAUUAAAGUUGUGGAGGUUUAUUGUUUGGGAUCAGAGACUUCGAUUGAAGAUGGAACCUCAUAUGUUUUUUAUAUAAUUGUUUGUUCGUAAAUAUGUUAUGUGUGACUGUCAUAGUACUUUGAAUUGUAAUCUGAAUCAUAUUAUUAUAUAUUGGGUUAUUUAUUAUCUGUUUAAAUAUACAAAUUAAUUUUUUAGAAAUUUUUUUAAAGAUUAGUAAUAUUUAACAUUUAAGAAACCUCAAUUCUGAGUAUGAGCACAUAUGUUGGUAAUAUUCAAAUAGGAAUAUGAACCCAGACGUAAGCACGGACAAAAGGCUAAUAAAGAAAUAAAAAAGGAAUAUUGAAUCCACAUAUUCAUAAUUUAAAUGUCGUAACUUAAAUAACUAAACUAUUAGGAAACAUGUAUGAUAUUUUUAGUUUUAGAAAAGAAUAAUUUAAUUUAUCUUUAAGAAUUGUUAUUUGAUUCAAAUCUUUAGGAAAUCUUUUAGAAUUAAAAAAUAUAUUCUCUUUUUUAGGUAAUUUUAAAAAUUUAAAUAUAUUAUUUAUAUUUAGGAUUUGUUUUCUUUUUCAGAUUAAGAUUCUAGGUCAAUAAUUAUGACACGAGAUUUUAACAAUUUUGAAACAAUAUACAAAUGGUAAACUCAAAGGGUGGUGUUAAUUAAUAAAUGAGAAACAAACUUCAUGCUUUUUGUGGUGUGGGUGGAAAGUAUAAUGCGAAACAAAAUAGAUUAUGGCAGCAUGAAAAUUUCAAGAUAGAAAAAGUUUGAAAUAUCAUUAAAUAAUGUUACCUGAGGUGUACGUUUGUCACGCUAUUUUCUUGGCAUUCGAAAUGCUGAAGAAAGAUAAUUUCAUAUAUCCAUCAAAUCAAAAUAUAUGUAACGCAGGCACUCAACCUUUAACUCUAGUCUGCAGAAGAAAAGGGGGCUUUUAUAUAUCUCCACUUAGAAAUUAAAAUGAAUGGUUAUUUUUUCCCCCAAUAAAAUACCUUGAAAAUUAUUCGCCCUCUCAUUUAGAGAAGAUCGAGCAUCAAGUUUUGGUAAUUCUUUACUUUAAUUUUAUUUUGAUGAACGUAGCAAUACUUCACUUAAAACCUACGGCAUAUUAUGGGAUCUGUUUAACGUGAAGGUCCAAAACCCUUGAAACAUCAAUUUUUGGCCGUUACUCUUGCGUUUAAUACUUAUUACACUUAUUUCUUUCUUGUUGAACUCUUACUAUAAACUUCUUAACUUUUGCAAUUUUAUUACACUACCCUGCACCCUAAGUCCGUAACAGUGAACAUGCUUAUUUAAUGAAAUUCUUAAACAAAAUUAUCCUCAUUUUCUUCCUGAGCACCUCAAACAGUGAACAUGCUUUUGUCCCUUUUUCUACUGGUUUGCUUCUUGCCCACCUCAACUUGACCGUUGCCGUCAAGCCAACCAAAGGCCAUCAACAUCGAAGAAGAAUAAGAACAAAGAGAGGAGCAUCAACAAUAUUUCUGAACCAAAACCAAAUAUUUCAAAAUCAUUAAUUAUAGACUUGUGCUAUAAAUAGAUAAUUAAUAGUAAAUUAUAGACUUUAAAUAUUGAGAGAAUUAAAGUAAUCAAAAUUUAAAUGAAAAUUGCAUAAAAAUAAAGAGUUUCAGAAAAGAAAAUUAGUUCGGAAAUUUUCUUAAAACACUUGAUAUGUGUAGAAAAAGAGAUUUGUAUUAAUGAUAAAAAUUACCGGGGAUUUGACUUCAUCACAUCGACCUAACAUACUCAUCAAAUUUAGAGUGAUGAAAUCUCAAGACAGAAAAAGUCUAAACUUAAAAUACUAACAAAUGUCUUAUUUUACUUGACUAACUUUUUUGCAGUCUCGAUCUUAUGUUUUAAUUUUAACUUUGUUGAGUACUCUCCCUGGCAAAUUUUCCAGUUUGGGGUUGUUUUACAAACAAUUUCCCAAACUAGGGCUGUUUUGGAAGUUAUUCCCACCAGCGCGUCUCCUUUUGCUGAGGUGGCUUUGGAAGCACCAGCAGUAAUGGUGAUUUGGUGAUGGCCCUAGGUUGCAGCGUUGCAGAUUGGCCUGCAGAGUUGCAGGGAGGCGCCAGUGGUGGUUGCAAUUUGUAGGAGGGAGGCGCCAUUGGUUCCUGCGACUUACCUGAAAACGCCAUUGCUGAUGGCGUUUGAGGGUGUUUAAAUACCCAAACUCUUCCGCAUUUCUUCAGCACUUUCCCUUUGAACAUUUUGUUUUUGUUUUCGUGGCUUUGGCAUUCUGGUGACUUUGGAAAUUUUUGUGGUAUGAAGUAUUUAUUUUUUAAAAAAUUAUAUUAGCUUUUAUGUUUAAUAGGCUUGUUAGUGUGUAUUUAAAUGUAAAAAAUAAACAGAAAAAUUGUAUAAGAAUGUUUAUUUGAAGAAAAUAUUUUCAGUCAAAAUAAAAUAUUUUGAAUAUGAAAUUUGUAUUAUUUUUUUAAUUAAAUUAGGUUGGUGUUGAUGAAUGUUUGAACUUUGAAUAAAAAAAAAUUAUAGAUGAUAUUUAUUUGAAGUAAGUAUUUUGAGUACGAAUUUUUUUUUUUAUAUGAAGUUGUAGUAUUUUUUUAAUUAGAUUAAGUUGGUUUGUUGGUGUGUUAAAAAUUUAUAAACGUUGAACUUGAAAGUGUUAUUUGAUGCUUUGUUUUUUCUCGUACUACAAAUAUUUUAUUAUAUUUUUAGUAACUUUGUAAUUACCUUUUUCCAUUUUAAAGUUAUUAAUGGUUAAGAUUAAUUAUUUAUACUACUAACUUCAUUAAUGAAUUAUUUAAUUUUUUGUUAAAAAUGACUAUCUUGAAAUUGUUCAUUUUUUUUAAGUUUGUCCCAUAAAAUUAAUUUGAAGUUGAUUAAAUUUUUUUAAAAGAGAAAUUGAAUGUGAAGUUCCAAUAAAGAGAUCUUUUGUGAUUACAUUUUAUUAGUUUUGAUUUAAAGUUUUAUAAAAUCGUUUGUGUUAUUUAAGUGUGUUGAUGUGAAAUUUAUUUAAAGUUAAUAAUUUUAAUUACAUCUUGAUUAGUUUAAAAUUACUACAUUGAAAUCGUUAAUAUUUUUAAAGUGUCUUAAUGUGAAAUUGAUUUGAAGUUAUUUUUUUUUAAAAAUAAAGUUUUAUUUUGAAGUUCUAGUAAUGACUUUUUGUGAUACCCAUUUUUUAAUUUAUUUGACGUGUUAAAAUAUUGUUUUUGUAGGUACACGAUGAAUUCGGUUAUAACAGUGUUGUAUUUCAAUGGAAGGGUAUAUGAAGAUAAUGAUGGUGUAAUAUUUUAAGGCAGUAAAAAAACGAUUCAGAUUAAACGUGGAAUUAGUUUCAAUGCUUUGAAGAAAAAAAUUGGAGAUAAGGUAAAGUUACAAAAUAAUGAAAUUAUUUAUGUUAUCAGUUGUAGAUUUUUAGUGUCAGGAAAAUAUAUUGUCUUGCAAAUUUGUGAUGACGAAGACGUUGAAAUAAUGCUGGAAAGUUUUAAACAACAAGACCAAAUGUCAGUUCUGGAAUUGUACAUAGAAAAAGAUGUGGCUGGUGGUUCAAUGUUUCAUUCUGCCAAUUCGCUUACAUCACGUGGAAAUUAUUUAUCUAAUGAUGAGACACAACCGGCAACAAAUAUGAGCAAUUUACAUAUUGACGAAGACGAUGAUGAUGAUUAUCUUGUGUCUAACUCAUACGUUCAAGAGUCUUUAGACGAAGAUGACAUUGUUGACGGUAUAUCUGAUACAAACGAUGAAGUCACCAACAUUCCUCAACCAGUAAGAAUUGUUCACCCAGCAGAAGGUAUAAUUUGCUGUAUAAAAAAAUUAGACAAUACAUUUAUUAUUUGAUGACAAUUGUAUUUAAUGCUAAAUAAGUAUUAUUUGAUUUUUUAUUUUAUUUUUUAUUUUGAACUGUUAGGUGCACAACGAAUUGAAAAUCCAUUUUGGAAUGAUGCCUUACAUUAUAAUAAUAUCAACUGGAGUUAUCCUGAUGAGGAGGACAUUUACGGAUUGGAGAUGUCGUCGACCUUUAAUGUUGACCAAGAAUUAUAUGUUGGCAUGGAAUUUGAUAGUAAAGAUGCGGUAAAAAAUGCAGUCAAACAAUAUGUUAUGAAGGUGCAUCAAAGUUUCAAAGUUGUUGAAAGCAAAUCGAACAAGUAUGUGGUUUGUUGCUUGAAUAAAAAUGCAGAGUGUCCUUGCCCUUUCUAUAUGAGGGCAAUUUUAUCUAAAAAAACAGAUACGUGGAAAGUCACACAAUGGGGUGGACCACACACAUGUCUGAAUAUGACCAUGACACAAGAUCACGAGAAACUUGAUUCAGAUUUAAUUGCCACUUGUGUAGUAGGUACGUAUUUUAUGUUCAUUUUUUGUUAAUUGUCAUUUAAAUUUUGUUAUGUUAUUGACAGACAUGAUCAGAGAAGAUCCAUCUAUAAAAAUUUCUUUGAUUCAAGAGAGGAUUAACAGUGAAUUUGCGUACAAGGUGUCGUACAAAAAAGCUUGGUUGGUGAAACAGAAAGCCAUUGCAAUUGAAUAUGGCGAUUGGGAUGAGUCAUAUGUGAAACUUUCGUCGUGGCUAACACACAUGCAAAAUCAUUCUCUUGUAUCAUAUUUUCAAGUACUACAUGACGAUUUUAUCGUUGGGAAUACGGUUAGUCGCGAACACCGUCAGUUUCAUAGAGUUUUUUGGACUUUUGGCCAAUGUAAAGAGGCUUUCAAGUACUGUAAGCCAAUCAUACAAGUUGACGGCACACAUUUGUACGGCAAAUACCGUGGGACCCUCUUAAUGGCCACAUCACAAGUUGGAAAUGGUGGUGUCCUUCCUCUAGCAUUCGCCGUGGUUGAAGGUGAGAUGUUGACAGCGUGGUCAUGGUUUUUGGCACACUUGCAUGAACACGUCACAGAUAAAAAUGGUAUUUUUCUUAUAUCUGAUCGACACACGAGUAUAAAGUCCGUUGUCGCUAACGAAGCACUUGGUUGACAACCUCCCCACGGUUAUCAUGUCUACUGCGUGUGACACAUAGCAAGCAACUUCAAUCGGAAAUUCAAUAAUGCCAAACAAAAAGAAAUGUUGAAGAAAUUGGGUAAGAUUUCAUAUUUGAUGGUCACGUUUAUUUAACUUUCAUAUAUACUUAAAAUUGUUAUUCAUAACUAAUUUUAUGCAGCCUACACUCCUUGCAAGCACAUUUUUGAUCAAAAGUUAGAAAAAUUUCGUGAAUUGAGUCCAGCCAUAACAACAUGGAUUUAUCGCAUUUCAAAGGAAAAAUAGACGAUGGCUUAUGAUAGAGAAGGAUGUCGAUAUGACCACAUGACAACCAACCUCUCAGAAAGUAUUAAUAAGGCUUUGAAGGAUUGUCGCAAGAUUCCCAUAACAACAUUGGUCAAAUCAACGUACAGUAGGUGUCGAAAGUACUUUGUUGAGCGUAGACAUGGCAAUGGGGCGGGUCGGGUACGGGUAUUGUCUUCCCAAUCCCUUACCCCGACUCCUCAACAUAUCCCCAUACCCGUACCCGAUACCCGACGGGUUUGAGUUUAUUGUCCCAUCCCCAUACCCGUCGGGUACCCGUUGGGUAUCGGGUAUCCCCAACCCUGUUCCACACACCAUUUAGAAAAAUAUUUUUUUUUGUAAAAGAAAUAUUAAAAAUUUGAUUUUAGAAAAAAAUAAAUUGAUUGUUAAACAAUUAUUUUUAACUGCUUAUAUAUCAAUAAAUUUAUUAUAACGUGUGUGUCUACAUAAAUAGUUAAGAAAAUAAUAUUAAAUUAUGUAAAAAUUCUAAAAUAAAAUUAACUAGUAAUAAAAAUUAUGUCUUUUGAUUAAAUUAUGCAAAAAUUCUAAAGAUUUUAAGUGGCGGGGCGGGUUCGGGUUUGGGGUCGGGACGGGUCUAAUAAUCUCAUACCCGUACCCGUACCCGACUUUUGGUUAUCGGGGAAAACCCGAACCCGAACUCAUUCCUGAUCAACUCGGGUAUUACCCAUCAAAGUCGGGACAGAUUCGGACGGGUUUUCUUACCAUGUCUAGUUGAGCGUGGCCGCCAAGCCUAGCGACAGUUAAAUGAAGGGCAAGUAUAUUGUUCAAAGCUUGUUAAAGAACUUAGAAAAAAUCAAGAACAAGCUUGUUCGCACAUCGUUCGUGUGUAUGACAUCCACUCCACAAGGUUUGAAGUAGAAGAGACCUCCAAUCCUAUUACGCAACUUGGCGGACAAAAGUGGACAGUUAACUUGAAUGGUCAUUAUUGUCAAUGCGGAAGGUAUUCUGCGCUUCACUAUCCAUGUUCACAUAUUAUUGCAGCUUGUGGUUACGUGAGCCUGAACUAUUACCAAUAUAUAGAUGUUGUUUAUACAAAUGAGCACAUCUUAAAAGCUUACUCCGCACAAUGGUGGCCUCUAGGGAAUGAAGCGGCUAUUCCUCCUUCUAAUGACGCAUGAACAGUUAUCCCUGACCCAACUACAAUUCGUGCGAAAGGUCAGCCAAAAUCAACAAGGAUAAGGAAUGAGAUGGAUUGGGUCGAACCAUCUGAGCACCAACAAAAAUGCAGUAGAUGUGGAGCCGAAGGGCAUAACAGUCGUCGCUGUCCAAUGCAAUCUAAGCGUGAGCGUUGUUCAAAUCAUUGAUUUAUGUAUGUUAGUCGAGGGACUUGUAUUUGUUUAAGUUCUCUUCAAUGUAUUGAAUUUCUGGGUUGAAUCAAUUUGUUAGUUAAAAACAUUACUUAUUUUGGUUUGUGUAAAUUAGCUAUUUGUGGGGUUCCAUGAAUUCAUUAGUUAAAAACAUAACCAUAAACCCUACUAAUAACCCCUAAUCCAAAACCCUAAGCCUUAAACCCAUAAGCCCUAACCCUAACUCUAACCCUACCCCAAACCCCUAAUACAAAACACUAAGCCUUAAACCUCUAAACACUAACCCUGACCCUAACCAUAACCAUACCCCAAACCCCUAAUCCCUAAACCCCAAAUCACUAAGCCUUAAACCCCUAAACCCUAACCCUAACCUUACCCCAAACCCCUAACCCCUAAUCCAAAACACUAAGCCAUAAACCCCUAAACCCUAACCCUAACCCCAACUCUAACUCUAACCCUACCCCAAUACCUUAAACCCNNNNNNNNNNNNNNNNNNNNNNNNNNNNNNNNNNNNNNNNNNNNNNNNNNNNNNNNNNNNNNNNNNNNNNNNNNNNNNNNNNNNNNNNNNNNNNNNNNNNAACCCUACCCCAAAACAUUAACCCCUAACCCCAAGCCCUAAGCCACAUCCGUAAUCCCUAAAACCUAACCCUAACCCUAACCCCUAAUCCAAACCCCUAAGCCCUACCCCCUAAUCCAAACCCCUAAGCCCUAACCCUAACCCUACCCCCUAAUCCAAACCCAUAAGCCCUAACCCUAACCAUAAUCCAAACCCCUAACCCCAAGCCCUAAUCCACAACCCUUAAACCUUAAACCCAAAUCGAAAAUCAUAAACCCCAAACCCUAACCCAAUGCCUUAAACCCUAUCCCUUAAAACCUAAAACGAUGAACCCUACAACAUAACACCUCAACCCUAAACCUAGGUUCAGUGAAAGUGGGAAGUCCAAUGCUGUAGUUAUGGGUAUUCAAAUUGAUACUAAAGGAGAACUAUCUACAAUGAUGAACUAUGGUCUUAGUCAAUGUGGAGUAUCUGCACAUAUGGCGUUGGUGUUCGGCUGUAGUUACUAAAACUACUUAUUUUUUGUUUGUCUACUUUAGUUUUAUUUUUAAACUUUGUUUAUUAUUAUAGUUUGAUGCGCCACAUAAACUCUAUACAUUAGUAAGGCAUAAUAAAUGAGAUGCGAUAGAUUAACUGUCAAAACCAAAUGUCUUACAAACAACAACAAAUUUACACAGAGACAUAAAAAUCAGUCAUUAUGGUGUCCGUGAUGUCGUGAGGAUGUGCCACAUGGUCGAUCCCAUCUUCGCACUUGACGAUCAGGAUUUCUUCUGCCGCGUUGUCUCCCCGCUUCUGCUUGCUCAGCCUCAACAGAAAACUCCUGACGCAAAUCAACACCUAAUAAGUCGCUCAUAUCAGGUAUUGCUCUGGGUACAUUCCAUUGCGGAGCAAAUGGGGCGUUAGGUGUUGCCAUGGGGGCAUCGUGCUGUUGUGAAGGAGUCAUAGUGGGCCAUGAAAAAUGAGGCUGUGUUUCCGCAACACCACUGAACGAAUGUUCGCUCGCAGAAGUAUCAGUGUGAUGACCUUCAAAAGGAUACUGAUACAUCUGUGAAUGAUAUUCGGAAAAUGUUGUUGGCGUGUAAUACAUUCCAUGACCACGCUCCAUCAUUUGUUGGGAAUAUUGUUCCGCUUCAACGGGCUCCCUUCGUCUGCCUAUGCCCCGAGUUUCAACACUUGACUGAAGAAUGUGAAACUCUUGUGCUGGGAAUUCACGCUCUGAUGCUGGACCAUGUGACACUGGCUCAGUGAUUCUCUCUUGCUCUUCUGAUAUGAUCGCUAACUUAUCCACGUAAGGCAUGAGAUCAUCAACUGUCCAUGUGUUCCUCCCUUGUGGAGACACCAUAUACUGUAAAGUCUCCACAACUUCACCUUGCAAUUAUUAGCGUCAACAAAUUAAUGCUCAUGCUUAAGAAAAUAAUUAGAAGUUAAACAUUGAAAAACAGAUAAAUACCAAUGCAGCUGUGUUUGCAUUGUUUGGGUCGACAAACAUCUUUGUUUUACGCCUAUACUACACCAUGUAAUCCGAGUUAAAACCCAGUAGGCCCUCCUGUCGAGGAUAAACGUCGACCCUAAACUCAGCUCGAUUGUUCCACUGACUAAUCAUUGGGGCCAACAGGUGGAAUCAAUUCUCAUCUUGUUUGCCUUUGAGCGUUAUGCCAUGGAGAUUCUGCGGUUGCCAAGGACACCCGGGAAUAGGUUGUUGCAAUCCAAAUUGUCGUAAAACUCUAUCGGGUUGGUGCCACUCAACAACAUAGAAACAAAUCAGUGGUACCACCGCGAGCGAAUCAGGCUACACUUCCAACCACACAAAUUGGAGGCAACGCUGCCAUCACAGUUGUUGUGUAUGGCUCCCAGACAAACUGCAUAUAACAACACACUUGUCAAUUUUCAGUCAAACAUAACAUAUUAAAAUUUCAUUUAACCAAUACAUUACGAUCUUCUUACCUCAUGUCGUUUCAUCAGAUCCAAUUUGCGACGGAAAACUCUAAGAUCAUCGUUGUCAAUAUGCUGAUUUUCACGUCGCAACCACCUAUAAUAAAAAUGAAAUCAUCAUUGUCAACACGUUCCAUCAUUAAAUAUUUUCAAUUCAAAUCUAAUUUUUUAAACGACAAACCUAUGUCCAAGUGGUUUAUUUUCUAUGACGGGAGGCGUCCUCUUUGGAGCCAAAGUCGUGCAUCGUUUCCAUGCCCACAUUUGGAUUAAGAUGCACAUACAUCCGAUUGAUUUAACUUUGUAAUCGGUGGUGCUGCACAUCUCUCUAUAUAAAUACGCAAGCACGGCAGGUCCCCACGCAUACGUGCUGCAUUGUUCAAAGUCACGUAAAAAUUGUAGGUACCUUAAGGAAACUCUGCUACUACUUUUGUUAACAAAGAGGACACCUCCUAUGAAUCGAAGGAUCCACGCACGGGUAAACCUUUGUAAUUGCUCAACGUUACCCUCAUCAAUAUUUAUGUGAGAAAAAUGGUGAGUCAACCAACUUAAUUUUACCACACUGCCUUCAAUUUCGCCUUCCUGUGGUCUGACUCCUAAUAAUUCUUCACACAAAUUGGCCCAAUCAAGAUUUGUUGAACCAAUUAAUGGUGCCCCGUCAGUACGCAGACCUAAUAAAACUGACACAUCUUGGAGAGUAAUGAUAGCCUCUCCGCAUCUCAGGUGAAACGUGUGGGUUUCGGGCCUCCAUCUUUCAAUGAACGCACUAAUUAAGGAUGCAUUUAUCUUUAGGUAUCACAUCUUCAUGAUCCAAUAAAACCCAGAUUGUCGAAGUAGAGGAACAAUUUCCUCUGGUAUUUGCUCUUCACCUUGAUACGUCGGGACUGCUCGUCUGAUGUGUAGUUUUCUGUCUGGUUCCUCAUUCCAAACAUGUUCUGAAACAUGCUUGGGUUGCAUCCACAAGACGUCACCAUCAAUUGGACCAGACCUAGUUUGUAUACUUGAUGAACAUGACGACGAAGAUGUCAUUGAUCCUACAAAAUAAAAUAUAAUACAAUUAAUUGAUGAUAAAAUUUAUACAUUAAUUAUACAUACACAAAUUAAGUAUAUUUACAAAAAAUUAAUUAAAAUAAAUUCAAAAUAUACUCUCCAAAUAAGAAAUUAUAUUUUUUAAAUUUCAAUAACAAAAUAUAUUAUACAAAUAACCUAAUUCAUAUAUAUUUUAUAAAUAAAUUAAAUUACAAACAAAUAUAAAUUUAAAUAUAUAAAUUAAUGACUUCAAAUAAUUACGAGUAAAAUAAUUUAACAUACAAAAUAAAUAAUUUAAAAUACAUAAAACUAUUCUAAUUUAAACAUAACAUAUGAAACUAAUAAUAACUAAAACUAACUUAAUAUAAAAAAUUUAAUUCUAACCUAAUUUAAAAUUACUAAUUUACACUACAUAAAAUUAUUCUUAAUCUAUCAUAACAAAUAUCUAAACUAAAUGUAAUCUACCAUAUACAAAAUUAAUGACUUCAAAUAAUUACGAGUAAAAUAAUUUAACAUACAAAAUCAAUAAUUUAAAAUACGUAAAAUUAUUCUAAUUUAAACAUAACAUAUGAAACUAAUAUUAACUAAAACUAACAUAAUAUAAAAAAAUUAAUUCUAACCUAAUUUCAAAUUACUAAUUUACAUUACAUACAAUUAUUCUUAAUCUAUCAUAACAAAUAUUUAAACUAAAUAUAAUCUACCAUAUACAAAAUUAAUGACUUCAAAUAAUUACGAGUAAAAUAAUUUAACAUACAAAAUCAAUAAUUUAAAAUACGUAAAACUAUUCUAAUUUAAACAUAACAUAUGAAACUAAUAAUAACUAAAACUAACAUAAUAUAAAAAAUUUAAUUCUAACCUAAUUUCAAAUUACUAAUUUACAUUACAUACAAUUAUUCUUAAUCUAUCAUAACAAAUAUUUAAACUAAAUGUAAUCUACCAUAUACAAAAUUAAUGACUUCAAAUAAUUAUGAGUAAAAUAAUUUAACAUACAAAAUCAAUAAUUUAAAAUACGUAAAACUAUUCUAAUUUAAACAUAACAUAUGAAACUAAUAAUAAUUAAAAUUAACGUAAUAUAAAAAAUUUAAUUCAGACCUAUUUUUAAAUUAAUAAUUUACAAUACAUAAAAUUAUUCUUAAUCUAUGAUAUCAAAUAUUUAAACUAAAUGUAAUCUACCAUAAAGUAAAGCUAAUCUAAACUUAAUAAGUUAUGGUACCUAAAAUUAUUCCUAAUCUAAAAUUAUUAAAUUAUGGUACCUAAACCUAUUCCUAAUCUAUUAUAUAAAAAGUUUCAACUAAAUUUAAUCUAUCAUAUAAAAUUAUUCUUAAUUUAUCAUAUAAAAAAUUAUUCCUAGUUUAUCAUAUAAAAAAUUUAAACUAAAUCUAAUCUACCCUAUAACAUUAAGAAUUGAAACUAAACUAUACAAAAUUAUUAACUUACACUACCUAAAACCAUUUUAUUAUCAGAAUAUAAACAUCUAUAUAAAUAAAAACAUACAAAAGAUUCAAUAUAUAACUUACAAGUUUUUAGGAGAAUGGAAGAACACCAACAAGAACAGCACCAACCAAGCAGUUCUCUCUCCACACAAUAUUUCACUCUCUCGGAUAACAAGCAAACUCGAAAGCAAGGAGCAACGAAUGCAGGCAAAGAAUUGAAGGCCAUAACCCAGUUUAUAAACGAAGAACAAGGCAAAACGCCAAUGGCACCAGCGACUUCAGCAGGCACGAAUCGCCAAUGGGUGUAGCGUUUCCCCUGCUGCACCUAGCUUUUGCUGCACCUAACUUCUGCUGCUGCACUGCUUGACGGGACUUCACAGCAGGCACAAAGCGCCAACAGCACUGGCGUUUUGCAAGACACGUGUCCGCCAUGCAAGAAGUCGCCGGCAGAACUAGCACGUCCCAUGCUGGGUACGUGCAAAAACAGCACCCCGUGGGAAAUACUUUGGAAAGAACCCUAAUCUGAAAAAUUGUUUGUAAAACAACCCCAACGAGGGAAAUUUGCCUACUCUCCCUCUAUAUAUAUAAUUGGACUUCCAUUCAUCAUUAUGUUGUAACACUCUUUUCGGGAAUAACUCUCCCUUCGAAUGAAUUAAUACAAGGUUGCACUGAAUUAAAUCUUAUACAAACAAACAGUAUUAAAAGAGUUGUUCAAUAUUUUUUUUAAAAAAAAAGUGAAUACGUGCAGAGAAAAAUUAUAGAAGCAAGAAAAAUACCGGUCUAAGGCGCGCGUUUUAAUACAAAACAAUAAACCAUUGAACCAAUUAUGAUUUGACGCACAGUAACAAAAAUUAUAUCCUUAAAUUACAUUUGGAAGAUUCACAUGUUGUGAGCUGCCCAACAUUGACCACAAAUUUUGCUCAUAUACCUAAUGCCCCAUCGACCACUCUUGUGUAUAUACACACAUUUCAAUAGUUAAGGGAACCUUUAGAACGAAAUAAGUUUUUUCAUAAUCCAAAAAAUGAUUCCUAAAAAAGUAAAUUUCUAAAUAUGUGUAUAACAUGUUUGGUUAGAUUAAUUUUAAUAUGUUUCCUGUGAAAAGUUGGACUUUUAACCUUUCUUGAGAAUUUUUUGGGGGACUAGACUAAAAUUUGAUUCUCAGAUAUUAUAAUUUUUAUAAUCUUUUUUUUAGUUACAUGUUAAACAAACAUGAAAAUCAUAGUUUCUCAAUAUAAGAUUUCUGAGAAGUAAAAAUUUUCGCUCCACCAAACGCUAAUGAGAGUUUUUCAUUAAUGGCCUUGUAUCUAUAUAUCAAACAUUUUGGGUGUUUCUCUGGGUCCUCAUCUAUAUCCAAUGAAUAAUAUGUGAUGGCAAUGUUUGUGUUCUAAGCAGUCCGAAGGAAAACUUACGGAAAAGAUCAUCAUCCGAAGUAAUUCACAUUUUUUUCCUCCAUACCCUUUUGUAUGAUAUAAUAAGAAUAAUAUAUAGUAAUGGGUAUCGUUAUAUUAUCACCGAAGUUAUUCUCAAAGUUCCAGUAAUAAUUAGAAUUAGAAUUUAUCUAAUUAUCUGCAGUCAUAUCCAAGUGUGGGAGAGAAAAGGACUUCUAAUUUGAGUAAUUUAUUUUUCUAAAAAUGCUGUGUAACACUUCAUAUUCAUGCACAUAUAUGGUUCUCUUAUAUAUGUAUCAUUUUGUCUGUUUCUAACAUGUGAGACUUGAUGAGAUGAGAGGGAAAAUUACAGAGAGGUAAAUGGUGGUGAGGAUGAGGGGGUCAGCUGCAUUGAGAGUGAGGAGAUGGAAAGCAAGAGGAUCAAGAUUGACAAGACACGAGCAUGCAAAAGUAUACCAAAAAAAAAAAAAAAUUGGGACCGGAAUGGCAAAUGGUAAGAUACUUUUUUACGUAUUUUUUGGAGUUUGGACAACUUAAUUUGGAGUUUAAUUAAUGAGAAAAAUAUUUCAAAAAUGGAGAAAAAGUUGGAGAAUGUGUUCAUGGUAAUGAAGCAUAGUUAAGGAACGGAAGCGUUUUGGUUUUGUAUAUGCUGUGCAGUAAGGGAUUCAGAGGAGGUUUUGAAGCACAAUUGGACGAGGUAUAGAUAGGAACAUACAAAUUAAGGGUCAAUAUGUCAAGAAUUAUAGAAAUAAAAUAAGAAGCAAGGUAGAACAGGAGAAAAGAAUGCAAAACUUCAAAUAAAUAUAUUAAUUAAUUAUGACACAAAACAUAAUUAACAAGAGAAUUAAAAUAAAACAAUAAAAAAUAGAAAAAGAUGGAAUAAAUAGAAUAGGAGAAAGAAGGCGCUAUACUCUUAGAAAGUGAUAAGCUAAAUAGGGAUUCACCACAUAAUUAUUGAAACGUUUGAUAAGAACAUAAAAAAAGGAGACAAUGAUCUACUCACACAUUAACAAGAGUAACUCUUCAAUUUAUUCAAGUAUAUUAAAUGAGAGUGAUGACAUCUCUAUUUAUAGAGUUUCACUAAUUUUAAAGAAACAUAACAAAAAGACCCAUGCAAGCUUAAAGCUGAAAUUACAACUUAAAACUCAAAGAAAACCAAUUUAAGGAUCAAACUUGCACCCCUUAAUUAGCAUCAAACUUGACCAUAUUUUUUUACAAUUAAAAGGCCAUACAUUAACUUAAUUAAUAAUGAUUGAACUAAUUAAAGUCAGAUUAGGAACAAGACCAAAAGGUAGUGCCUAAAUGAAGCCCAAACGUAAGUCUUUUUCCACUUGAAUCAAAUUACCAACUCAGUCUCUUCUUCAUAUUGGGUUUGAGGUUGUAUGACUUGAUCACUCUAGAUGCUCCUUAGGUAUCUUUAUUCUUCUCCCUCGUUGAUUCCUAACCCAAUCAUAGGAUCCUCCCUUUUAGCUAUUUUAUUUUUACUAUAAUAUCAAAAGAAAUUUGUUGUUUGCUAACAAUUUAAAUUAGAAAUAUAGGUUUUACCUGAGUCAUCUUUUAGAAAACAAACAAUAUAUAUUGCAUAUAUAUAAACAUAUUGUAACACUAUUAUUUUGUAUUUUUCUUAUUUGUGCAUAUAACAUUAAAAAAUGACAUACCUGGAUUCUUGUGCAUAUACGAUAUGGUAUCAUUUAAAUUUCCAAGCCAAAGUUUCUUAGCAAAUGUUAUAUGUACCGAUCUCAACAACGGUGUGUUAAGAUUAGCUCUUGAAAAUGUUUCCAUGCUUGAAAUAUUGCUCACCCUCAAUAUUUGUAAGUUAGGCCAAUCAAAAGUUUCACUCUGCUGACAGAAACUGACCAACUUUGGAAGAACCUUGAGUACAAGGCAUUCAAUUUUAGGAAAAAUAAUAGACAUAUUUUCAUCAUUAUCACUAGAUAUCGCCUCUUCUAUUUUAUCACAGCCACACAAUCUUAGUAAUUUGAGUUUCCCAAGAUUCUGGGCAGAAGAAAGUGAUAAUAAACUUUUGAGACUAUCACAGUGGACAAUAAAAAGUGACACUAAAUUUUGGAAAAAUGGAACUUGAGGUUCCUUAUUUCAAACACCUGUCAAACCUCUUAAGUUACUCAAUGCUAAUACGCUCAGUUGAGGAAGCAUUUCUUGAAUAUUAAGAUCGGGUUUUUCAUCUUUAAGGUUGAACACCUCAGUCAAUAAUUCACAUUUGUCCGAAGUCAAUUUUUUUCAGGUUGUUGAAUCUUUUGAUCAUGCUAGAAGAGAUGACACUCAACAAUUUGUUUUGUUACUCAAAGUCAUGUUUUCUAGUUCACAAAAUGAUUCAGAAGGACAACUGCAGUGCCAAAGCUUCUUAGCAUCUUGAUUUAUUACAUAUAGUACCUUCAAUUUGUCCAAUGACAACUGCAAGGAACAAAUAGUAAUUUUCAACUACUGAAACAAAGGUGAAUACAAAACAAAGUAUGAACUACAGUGUAUAACUGAAGUAAGGAAAGUAGAUUGUGUAGCACAGUACGGUGGCAUGCCGCAUGUCCUUCAUAUUCACAUUUAAUCAUUUAUAAAAAUAGUAAUUAAAAUAAAUAUCAUGAAAUGUGUGUAAAAAUAUAAAGUUGAGAAGAUUUGAUUUUCACACACACAUAUGCCCGUUGCCUUUGAUAAUGAGUAUUAUAUCUAAAACUUAUAAUUGAAACUUACUGAAUUUGGGAAGAAAUAGUUUGAAGUAGAUGGUUCUGGACGAUCUUUCGACUUGCUAGACUCUUCAACAAAAGUCAUCAGAGAAGGACAAUUUGCUACUUUCAAUGUUUUUAGGGAUGGAAAUUCUGAUGUAGAAGGAAAUACAACAGAAAGAUUUUUUAGAUUUUCAAGAGUCCUUCAAUUGAGAAAAGUUGGCACUCCUUCUCGUUCCUUCUUUUUUUUAUCUAUGAUCAUGAUUUUCUCCAAGGCCUCACAAUCCGAAAUUUCCAUAUUUGUUAGCAUUAGAGACAUUGGUAACCAAUUAAGAGACUUGCAUUCCUUCACUUGUAGGAUUUUCAGAUUUUCAUAGAAUUUGGCAAUUUCCAUGUUGAUGAUGUGGGUUAAUUUAGGCAGAUCAAUCAAAAUCAAUUCAUCUAGUUGCUGUAGGAGCUUUGUGGGAUAAGAUAUUUCCUCAUGAAUCUUGAAUACCAUUUCCAAUGAGUCACAAUGAGUCUCUUCAAAUUCCUCAACUCUUGUAAAGUCUUAGAGGACACAACAACAACCAUCUUGAGGCAACUAUCUAACUUGAGUUCAUUUAGCUCAGAGAAAGAGUUCUCGUCAGUUAUGGACAAUGCAUUUGUAGUUGCAAAGCCAGCUGCAAAAUUUUCCAACCAAGGACACUUUUUCUAAUUGAUAAUAGUAGAACCACCUCAAACGUGAGAGAGACUUGAACUCCACCUUGCUGAGUGCUGAGAACUUAGCUGUUGUCCUUACUUCCCAAUUACCGAAAACUACUGCAAGUAAUAACUCACAUGCCUCUAACUAUAAUUCAUUUAGUUGGUGGAGCUCUUUAGCUUCAGAAUCAUUUAAUUUAUUUGACAGAGAGGGACAACUUUUGAUGUGUAUCAUUUGCAUAUUCCGAAAUCCAUACAUUCUUGCUGGAUUGCCUUUCCAUGUAUUCCAUAUAUUUUUCAGUUCAUCUAGUUCUAUUAAUUUUAGUUCUUUAAUCUCUGAAAUAUUUACCAUCUUCAUCCUCAUCAUAAACGUCAAAUACAAAACUUAAUGUUUUGCGUUGCUCAAUGUGGAAAAUUGUUGAAAUAUAAGUGUGAGGUGAAAUUUCAUAUGGAGUAGGAGUGAAAAAAUUUAGCAUUAUAUAAGUAAGGAAAAGACUUAUAAAUUUGAGCCUUAAGAUUUUGGGAUAAAACUAUGUAGGAGGCUGUUGCUUGGUACAUCUUUGAUAAUAAUAAAAUUUGAAGGAAUUUUAAAAGUUGUAGAUAAAAUAAGAUCAUUAAUUUGAAAAGGUAAAAAUUUGAGUAUAAAAAUUUGGAAUUUAAAAUCUUUAUAAUUCCAAUGAAAAAGAGUAAUUAAACUUAUUUUUUGGAUUGUGACAAAUAGUGUCAUGAGAGAGUACUAACCGAUAAUUCAAAAAGAUAGGUAACUUUUGUAUCAAUACCAUUGCACUUGAUUUUCCAUGAUGACUAAUUUUAAUUGUGACCUUUUUAUCUUUCCCAAACCAAACUUCUUUAAAUUAUGGCUGCCGUUCACAACAGCCACAUUCUCUAAGGAUGACCAUUCAAUAAUGUUUCCAUUGGAAAAACUCCUUAGAUUGGGUAAGUCUUCAAGAUGUACUUUGUUUAUUUCUGGAAGUUCAAUUGCAACUGUAACUUCUUUGACUUCUUUAAGUAGAAUGGAUGUCACCUGUACCAUCCAAAAUAAUUCUUCAACAUAAGGCAGUUCUUCUUGGGCUUAUUGGUUUUAAACAAAACUUAAUUAUUAAUUAAGGAAUGAGAGAAGUUCAAGAGAAAAAUAAUAAUAAGUACUUUUAGAACAUCAACUAAGGAAUAAAAUUAUAAUUCUUUUAUCAAAAGAUAUUACUGAUAUAACUCAGGUCAAUCCAAGGCUAAGGCACUAUUAAAACUCAAGUUUUAGGACCACCAAUAAUAAAUUAUUUAUUAUUAAUUUUUAUAAAAGAAAAAUAUCACAUCUGAUGACAAAAAUAAAAAAGCCCAACAUAUAACUCUCUACCUUAUUUAAAGUAGAAAAGUCUCUCUCAAAAUUUUCUUUAAGCCCCACUCAUGUGUCUAUUUUCUCUAAUAGUAUAAAGAAAACUAAUUAUUUUAGUAGGACCAUAUUUAAAGUGUUCUUUCUAUUCUCACCCUUUUCUCCUCCUUUACUUUUUUUUUCCAUUGUCAAGACAAUUAAGUGAAUAUAUCAAUUUUACUGGGUUUUUCUUAGUAAUGCCUCUCUUUUCAUUUUUCUAUUAUUUCUAAGGUAUAUCCAGGAAUGAGAUUUUAGAAAGGAAAGAAAAAAGAGAAAGGAGAUAUUUUUUUCAAUUAAGAGAAUUAUAUAAUAUUUAUAAAAAUAAAUAAAAUAUUAAAACAUUUAGUUUAUACUAAUCUUUAUCUCUUUUAUUUUAAAAAUUAUGAAAUAUUUGUUAAGAAUAAAAAAAAAUUGUUUUCAUUUUUUCUUCACAACUAACUCCUUACCAUUAAUUAAUUUAAUAUCAUAUUUAUACCUCCGCCAAUCCCAUUCUAACCAAAAAGUAGUAAAACGGAUCAGUAUCACAAGGCAAAUUCAGUAUCUAUAGUAUAUGUUUAGGGCCAAUAUAUAUAUAUAUAUAUAUAUAUAUAUAUAUAUAUAUAUAUAUAUAUAUAUAUAUAUAUAUAUAUAUAUAUAUAUAUAUAUCAAAGACUAAAUUACAACCUAAAAUAAAUAUAAGCGACUAUGUGAAUAAUUUAGCCCAUGGUAUAUAUAUGAUUUCAAAAAGUUGUUGCAAUAAUUUAAUGAUUUCAGAAUUAGAGAAAAGAAAAUCUGUUACUAAAUUUAAUCACUCAUUCAUGAAAAUUUAAGAAAUGACAAAUUCUCACCAAUAUGUUAUUCUGCUUCCUGACAAACCCAAUCCGUUCUAGCAUCAAAAUAUUUCCCCGUAAUCUUGUCUAAUCGUAGUUGCUUAGGUCGCCAGUCCCAUAAAGUUUGCCAUCUCAUCGCUUGCCUAAUUGUAAGUUUUCGAUUCUAUUUUUUAUUCCAAACAUGUUGAGAGACAAUAAAAUGUUGAAAAAAUAUAUAUUUUUAGUUUUUAUAUUUUCAUAACAAUUUGUUUUUAAUUUUCAUAGUUUUAUAUCAUUCAAUUUAGUCUUUGUAUUUUUUUUAAAAAAAAUUGUUUUUAGUUUCUUUUCACAAAUAGUGUUUACAUCAUUUCCUACAUUGUUCAUUUACCGUACAAAUUCAUGGAAGCAACAUUCAAGAAACAAAUAAAACCAGAAAAAGACAUAAAAACAAAUUUACAACAACAGUUGAAGAAUGACAUAGAAACAAAGACAAAAAAGAACCCAAAGUUACCAUUCUAUGUGUUUAAGAAAGACAUUAAUAAAUUCUUUUAAAAAAAAUAAAUUUUCACAUCAUUUUAAUCAAUAAAAAAUACUUUGGUUGUCACGUUAGACAAAAGUUAAUGUCGUUUGUAAGAAUUCUAUAAGGAGGAACUAAUUAAAAAUAAGUUUUUUGUUAAGCACAGUGACAAAAUUGGAUGAUAUGAAACUUCAAUGACCAAAAACAAGAUUUCAUUAAAAUAUAGGGACUAAAAACAUAUUUUUUCCUUAAAUAUUUAUCUUGCAUCAACAAAAAACAACAUAUGUUGGUCUAGAAAUUAUAUACAUGAAUUAUUAAAACAAUAAAAAAAAAAUAUGUGUCCAUAAAUGUAACACUACAUCUUCAUAAUUGUUUUACAAGUGAUUUAAUUAAAUUACAAGAGGUGAAAUUUAAUUUAAGCAUUUGAAAUUAAUUAAUUAAUUAACCAUGAGAUAAUGUUUUGUGGUGUUUGUAUUUAUGUUAUGAUUACGUAUGCUUAAAUCAUGUUAAGAGUGUAAGUAGUGAUUUUUAGAGUGUUUAGGCCAAGAUGAAUGGACCUUGAGUGAUGAGGAUAGAGUGAAUAAGUUUAGGAAGUAGUGGGAUGCAAAUAGAAAGAAGAGGAAGAGUUAUAUACUCAACAUAAAUUAUUUCAAAAUUGAAUCAUGAUAACUGUUAAUUAUGAGUAUAUUUUGGGAUUAAAUUAUAGAGGAAUUUAUAAUUUUUCUCUUCUAAUUUUUCUUUUUUGAGCAAAUAAUUGUUAAAUUAACAUCAUUUAAGUUUUUGUGCAGAGAAUAUUAAAAGUGAUGGAUUUAUGAAGUUUAGUGAGUAAAAUAAAACCCAGAAAUGCAAGAAUAAUUAAGGAAAUCAAGCUACUUGAGAAAAGAAUGACUAAUUAAGGAAAGAAGACUAAUUGAGGAAAGUAGGGCUGAUUAAGGAAAGUAGAAUAAUUAAGGGAAAAAAUAAUUAAGGAAAUGAGGCUAAUUAAGGAAUGAGUGAUUAAUUAAGAAAAUCAGACUAAUUCAGAAGCUCUAAUCUGCACCUAUAAAAGAAGAAGAAAGAAGAAUGAGAAGAUACACAAAAAUUCCAACAAAAUACAAUUCCUUAUAGAAGGCAAAUGCUAAAAGAAAGAGAAGCAAGCAAUGAGAGUUAUUCCUUCCCACCAUUCUCUUUUUUUUAUCUUUUCCCCCUUUAUUAAAUAUUUUCCUCCUGCAAUUGUAAAGUCUUCAUGACAAUGAGAGGCUAAAUCCCCUUUGUGGGAAACUCGGCAGCCAACUACUUUUGAUGUAAUUUCUCUUCCUAUCUAUUUAUAAUAUUACAUUUGUAUUAUCCUUUCUUGUGUUUAAUAUUAUUGUUUGUAGCUUGAUCACCCAUUUACAUGGUAAGUUUUAGGAGUAGCGUUGGAAAACGUUAUUUUCUAAUAGAACUGAAAAAAGGGUAUAUAAAUAAAGUUAUCACUAGGGAUAGGUGAUAUUUGUUUAGCCUGUUAUACAUCCCUCUUCUUAAUGUAAUUUACUAUUUUAGCUCUGCAAAGAGAUUUAAGAGAGAAAAUAGAUAAACUAGACUCUUUCGUGCAGGGACCAAAGUUAGAGUAAACUAAUAGAUGCAUGUGUAAAUUGGAAUAAUUAUAAAUAGAGAAAAAUCAUUAACAUUACAUCAAAGAGUAACUCUGGUAAGCUAAGUUCCUAACAUUCUCAUCUUCUUAAUUCAUCUUUUUAUCACCAUCUUUAUCUUUUAUUUUUCUUAUCUUUUACAUUAAAAUUUCUUAUCUAUUUUAUCUUUUACUUUUUUAUCUUUAUCAUCUUUUAAUUUAAAUCUUUAUCUUAUCUUUUAUCUUUCUUUAUCUUCUAUUUUAAAUUCAUUAUCUAUUACUUGUAAAUUAAAUAUUCAUCUAUCUAAGUGCAAACAAAGUCCUUGUGUAUACAAUACUCGCACUUCUAUUUUAACUUUACUACUUGGGACACAUUGGUGCAUUUGUCCAUCCAUCAACAAGUUUUUGGCGUUGUUGUCGGGGACUUUGUUCUUUGUACUUGGUAUUUUGGAUAUUCUAUUUUUAAUUUUUAUUUUUUACUUAUAAAAAUAAUAAUAAUAAUAUAAAUUCAAUUUUCAAAUUUUCUUUUUCACUCUUAAUUUUAUUAUUUAUUUUUCUAUGAUAACAUGCACGAUAGUGUUUUUCUUUCUUGUAUGCGAGGAAACAAUCUUGUUCCAUUGGAUCUAGAGAUUGAAGCAACGUGUAGAAAAAACAGCGCUACAAGAAGAAAGAAAGAAAAACAAGGGAAUCAAGAACCAUCAUCCUCUAUAUCAUCUUCUUCUUUUUCACAUCCCAACUUUGAAGAACACAUCAUGGCAGAAGACUAGCCACAGAGAAUCACCUUGGAGGACUACUCUAGUACCUCUACACCUCAGUAUUUCAGAAGCAUAGCUCGGCUCGAAGUUCAAGCAGCCAACAUCUCUUAUCCACAUUCUCUCAUCUAGUUGAUUCAAGGCAAUCUCUUUCAUGGACUACCCAAUGAAGAUCCAUAUGCACACCUUGCUACAUACAUAGAGAUUUGCAACAUAGUGAAAAUAACUAGAGUUCCUGAAGAUGCCAUCUGCCUCAAGCUAUUCUCCUUCUCCUUGGCUAGUAAAGCAAAAAGAUGGUUGCAUUCGUUCAAAGGAAAUAGCUUGCGGACAUGGGAGAAGGUGGUGGAGAAAUUUUUAAAGAAAUAUUUCCAGAGUCCAAGACUGUUGAGGGAAAGGUGGAGAUCUCUUCAUUCCACCAAUUCCCCGAUGAAUCACUGAGUGAAGCUCUUGACCGCUUCCAUGGUUUACUCUGGAAAACUCCCACCCACGGGUUCAGCGAGCCGAUUCAACUCAAUAUCUUCAUUGAUGGCUUGUGACCCCAUUCAAAGCAGUUACUUGAUGCCUUUGCUGGUGGAAAGAUCAAACUAAAGACACUUGAUGAAGCUAUGAAAUUGAUUGAAAAUAUGGUAGCCAGUGACUAUGUCAUCCUUCGUGAUCGAGCCUACACACCUACAAAGAAGAUUCUUCUCGAGCUCACAUCACAAGACGCACUAGUAGCCCAGAACAAGCUCCUAGCCAAGCAACUAGAGACCCUCAUAGAGACGCUAAGCAAGCUUCCUCAACAAUUGUAGGCAGCGCAUCCUGCCCAUUCUUCAGUCAUGCACAUUGGGGGAUGCAACAUCUAUGGUGGGGCCCAUGAGUCAGGCAAGUGCAUGGUCCAAGAUAAUGUAUCCAAAGAAGUCAACUAUAUGACCAAUCCACACCAUCAAGGAUUCCAUCAAGGAGGACCUCCAGGAUACAAUCAGGGGGGAAAUUUCUCUUAAGGCCAAGGUUGGAGAUCCCAUCCCGGGAAUAACUUCAACAAAAAUCAAGGAGUUUCAUCUAAUCGGUCUCCCAAUCAAGGGCCUAAUUUAUAUGAGAAAAUCACCAAGCUAGAAGUCACUUUGAAUUAAUUUAUGCAGGUUUCUCUAUCAAAUCACAAGAGCACUGAGUUUGUCAUCAGGAAUCUAGAGGUACAAGUGGGCCAAUUAGCUAAGCAAUAGGCUGAAACGUCCAUGAACAGUUUUUGGGCCAACACGGAGAAGAAUACCAAGGAGGAGUGCAAGGUAAUUUUCACUGGGAGUCAGAGGAGGGAAAAUGCAAAGAAAGAAAAGAGAGCUAAAGGAGUAUUGGAGGAUGUGAGUAAUGAGGAAGGAGAGUAUAAUAAGAGAGAAGAGAGCAAGGAAAAUGGUGAAAAUGUCUUACCCACUAAGACUAAAAGUCAAUUAGCAAGGGAGGCUAGAAAAGAGAUACCCUCAGUCCCAAUGAAGGACAUCCCAUAUCCCUUGGUGCCAUUAAAGAAAGAUAAGAAGCGAUAUUUUGCUUGAUUUCUUGACAUCUUUAAUAAGCUAGAGAUCACCAUUCCCUUUAGAGAGGCCUUACAGCAGAUGUCUUUGUAUACCAAAUUUUUGAAGGACCUCCUCACAAAGAAAGAGAAAUAUAUCAAUAAUGAGAGCAUCAUGGUGGAAGGAAAUUGUAGUGUUGUAAUCCAGAAGAACUCACCACGGAAAUUCAAAGACCCAAGAAGUGUAACCAUCCCAUACUAUAUUGGGGAUGUGUUAGUGGGUAAAGCUAUCCUUGAUUUAGGGGCAAGCAUCAAUCUAAUGCCCUUAUCUAUGUGUUAGAGAAUUGGGAAUUUGAUGAUUGCUCCCACCAAAAUGACGCUUCAGCUAGCAAACCGUUCGAUCAGUAGACCAUAUGGUGUAGUUGAAGAUGUCUUUAUCAAGGUUCGCCAACUCACUUUUCUGGUGGAAUUUAUGAUAAUGGAUAUAGAGUAGGAUUCUGAUAUUCCUCUAAUAUUAGGUCGUCCAUUCAUGCUUAUUGCAAAAUGUGUUGUGGACAUGGGGAAUGGCAACUUGGAGAUGAGUGUAGAGGACCAGAAAACCACUUUCAACUUGUUUGAGGCAAUAAAGCAUCCUAGUGAUAACAAGACCUACUUUAAGGUGGAGGCAAUUAAGUAAGAAGCUGACCUUGCUGGGCGGCACCUAAAUUAUGUGUUUCUAGAAGAUGAAUUCAAGUCAGUUGUGAAUCCAGCAAGCCCUUCCAUUGUCCUUCUGAGGCCAAGGCGAGUCAAGGCCCGAACUACUCCAGACGCUCCACUAGCUCCACCUCCAGUAAUCCCUCCUCCAAUCACCUCUUCUACAGUCGACAAGCCUUUUCCCUCCUCUUCCCAGCAGAAGCAUCUAGUCUAGAUGAUGUAGAGCCUUCAUCAUGGCCAUCGCCUCGUCAUCCAAAACCUUCACCAGCUAUCCGUUCACCUUUCUAUGGAACCUCCACUGAUGACGCCAGAGGCUUUUCUACCACAGGUUGUCUAGCCAAGAGUCCAACCCUCUUCUGUAGAGGGGGUGACACCUCUGGCAUGGGUAACCAUGAAGCUGAUAAUGAUUACAUUCUGGGCAUCACUGUUGCACAGGAAGCUUGGGAUCCAAGGCCCACACAGGAUUGAGGCCCAUUUUGAUCAGGAUUUUCCUUUAAUUCUCUUUAGUUGUCUUUAUUUAUUUUAUUUUGGUUUCAUUUUCUUUUAUUCUCAUUUUAAAUUCUUGCAUUUAGGAUAAUAUAAUUUUAGUAGUUUAAAUUCAGUCAUUUAAUAGUUUUAAUUUAGUUUGAUGCAUGAUAGAGAGGUAGAUACUUAUUGAUUGGUUGCAACAUAUUUUGAGUGAACCGAUUGCAUGAGUGAGACUAACUGCAUACUAAUGAGUAUUUUUGUGAAUGGUUGAUUCUCGUAAUAGCAAGCGUCAAUGUAAGUGAUGGAGUGUGAACUAACAGUACAAGAGUGAAAAGGUUAGUAUUUCUGACAAAAAAGCAUGGAAUGAUAAUACUUCAAUGAAAACCGGUAAGUUGUGUGAACUUUCAACUGUGAGAGAAAGACUGAUUUUAAUUUCCUGAUUUUGCAUGAUUCUUGGAUUGCUUGAAAUGCAAGUAUGAUGUGGAGAUGAUCAAGGCCUUGUUUGUUAUUUUAUUCAACUACUUAGCCAAAAAGCCAUCUUGUGAAUGAAUUCAUCCCUUGCAUCCUUUUUUAGCCUAAUGCAAAAAUUUUGUCAUUGGAACCCAAGCCCAAAAUGUGAUAUUUACUAACUACCCUUUCUUAGGUUGUAGGAGAGUACUCAUGGAUCCAGACAAAUUUGUCCCAAAUUUGGGGAAAUGUUUUUGGGUGAUUUUCUGUUGCAAGAAAAUAAAUAUAUAGCACAAGUUAAAUUGAGUUACAAAAUAUGGUAUUACUCUAGCCCAGUAUGAAAUGUUUUUACAUUUGCACAAAAAUGGAAAAAAAAAGUUCUGUUAUUUUAAAGAAUAAAAGUUGGGGUAAUGAAAAAGUAGCAAAGCAAUAAGGUUGGUGUUGUGAAAAAUUCUAAGUUGUGGUUUGUAAAUAAUUUGGGGGAAUGAAUGUUAUCCUCGAUCCUAAGCUUUGAUUCUUAGAAAAACCAUGAUUUCUUUGUUAGCUCAGUCAUGUUACAAGCCUAAUAAAGUCCUUAGUGAUCCACAUUAUGCACGUAUGAUAGCAUUGACUGAGAUGAUGUGCAAAGUUGGGAAUUUUACUAUUCAGUUGUUAUAAUUCAAACACUUUUACCGAAACACUUGUGGGAUUGAGAGAAAUAGUAGCCUUGUGAGAACUGAAGUUUGGUAAUUAUUUCUUGUGUUUUUUCAUUCUUGCUAACCAUUUCAUUUGAAGUACAUCUUAUUUUGCUCCUUUCAUGAACUUAUGACAACUAUGAACUUGAGAAUUGGCCAAUGGAGCUUUUUGGAAUAUAUGCAGUUAUCUUAUGAAUUGUGAUUGGUAAAAUCUGAACUUUUUCCUUUUGCUUGAGGACAAGCAAAGAUUUAAAUUUGGGGGAGUUUGAUAACUGCUAAUUAUGAGUUUAUUUUGGGGUUAAAUUAUAGAGAAAUUUGUAAUUUUUCUCUUCUAAUUUUUCCUUUUUGAGCAAAUAAUUAUUAAAUUAACAUCAUUUAAGUUUGUGUGCAAAGAAUAUUAAAAGUGAUGGAUUUAUGAAGCUUAGUGAAUAAAAUAAAGCCUAGAAAUGCAUGAAUAAUUAAGGAAAACAAGCUAAUUGAGAAAAGAAGAUUAAUUAAGGAAAGAAUAAUAAUUGAGGAAAGCAUGACUAAUUAAGGAAAGCAGAAUAAUUAAGGAAAUAAGGCUAAUUAAGAAAAGAAUGACUAAUUAAAGAAAUUAGACUAAUUCAGAAGCCCGCUAAUCUGCACCUAUAAAAGAAGAAGAGAGAAGAAGGAGAAGACACACAGAAAUUCCAAAAGAAUAUCAUUUCUUAUAAAAAGCAAAGGCUAGAAGAAGGAGAAACAAGCAAUGAGAGUUAUUUUUUCCCUCCAUUCCCUUUCUUAUCUUUUCCCCCCUUUACUAAAUAUUCCUCUCUUGCAAUUGUAAAGUCUCCAAGACAAUGAAAGGCUAAACCCCCUUUGUUGGGAACUUGGCAACCAACUACUCUUGAUGUAAUUUCUCUUCCUAUCUACUUAUAAUAUUACAUUUGCAUUAUCCUUUCUUGUGCUUAAUAUUAUUGCUUGCGGCUUGAUCACCCAUUUGGGUAGUAAGUUUUAAGGGUAGCGUUGGGAAACAUUAUUUUCUAAUAAAACUGAAAAAGGUAUCUAAAUAAAUUCAUCACUAGGGAUAGGUGGAUAUUUGUUUAACCUGUUAUACAUAUAUGUUUUUAAUACAAUUUACUAUUUUAGUUCUGCAAAGGGAUAUGGGAGAAAAAAUAGAUAAAUUAGUCUCUUUCAUGCGAGGGAAAAGUUAGAGUAUACUAGUAGAUGCAGGUAUAAAUUGGAAUAAUUAUAAAUAGAAAAAGAUCAUUAACAUUAUAUCAAAGAGUAGCUUUGGUAGGCUAAGUUCUCAACAUUCUCAUCUUCUGAAUUCAACUUUUUAUCAUCAUCUUUAUCUUUUAUUUUUCUUAUCUUUUACAUUAAAAUUUCUUAACUUUUUUAUCUUCUACUUUUUUAUCUUUACCAUCUUUUAAUUUAAAUCUUUAUCUUAUCUUUUAUCUUUCUUUAUUUUCUAUUUUAAAUUCCUUAUCUAUUACUUGUAAAUUAAAUAUUCAUCUACCUAAGUACAAACAAAAUCUCUGUGGAUACGAUACUCGGACUUCUAUUUUAACUUUACUACUUGGGACACAUUGGUGCACUUGUCAAUCCAUCAACAACCCACAUUCCAAAACACUCUCAUUUUGCUCCUUUCUUUCCUCUCCAUGAAAAACCUCCAUUUGAGAGCUUGAGACCUUGAUUUUUUUUGCUCAAGGGACCUUUUAAAAGUGAUUAUUUCAAGUUGUGGGCUAGUUCAGUGGUAAGAAACUCUCCACUUUCCUCUUUCUUCCUCCAUUUUUAUUUUUCUCCCAUGAGCACUUUUGGAAGUUUAUAAAAGUGUUCGUUUUCAAGGUUUUGAUGUGAUUUCUAUUGGUUUUUGGGUUUUGGGUGGUGUGGAUGAUUUAAAGUUGUUGUGUGAGUGAAAGAAAGCUUGCAUCUUGAACCCAAUCAUUUCUUCCUUCUUUCAUCUCAAAGCAAGUUCAUUAAAUUAGGAUAGGUAAGGAAAGCUUAAACCAACUUUGCUCUUAUGUUUAAUGAGUUUGAUUGUUGAUAUAUGUCCUUUAGAUGCAUUUUUAAUUCAAUGUUCAUGUUUAACAUUGAAAGAUUUUAGUUGGAGUUCAUUUGGGAUCCAUUAAAGGAGAGUUAGCAGCAAAACGUGACUUUGCAUACCAAUUGUGCUUAAAUGCACCCUAGGUAGAGCUUAAGCUUGUAGAACAUAUAGGUGGGCGAAUCCCUAGAUAGGUUAUGGUCUUUGCAAGCCUAACCAAGGUAAGCCAUUAUUCACACUUAUCCAUUUUUUAUAAAAUUGCACUUUCUUCGCAAGAUUAAUUUGAGUCUCCCCAAAUGGUCAAAGAAGUGACCAUGUUAAGGAAUGUACUUGGGUAUGUAAUUGGGUUAAUAGCUCAAAAAGUGAAAUCCCCUUGAGUAAAGUGUCAACAUGGCAUAUCAUGAUACUUAGAUAUGUGCACUCACAUUUAUGACUAGAGAAUAAUGUGUUACUUGAUGAGUUUGUGUAAGUACAUUGAUAUUGAAAGUGUGAAUUAUAUAUAUAUAUAUAUAUAUAUAUAUAUAUAUAUAUAUAUAUAUAUAUAUAUAUAUAUAUAUCUUUUUUGAAAUGAACUUAUGUUAUUUCUUCUAUAUGAUAUUUCUUUUUAAAAUGAGUUUACCCUUGUAUUUUCUAUUGAACUAUAAUGAUCAUAUUAUUUGUCAUGAGAACAGAUUAUGAUGCAGCUUCUAAGGAGCAUGUCACUUAUGGUUGAUGUGGGUUUAAUGGUGGGCUUUGGAACGAGAUCUGACCAUUAGCCAUUUAUUUAUUUAUGUUUAGUCUUAGUGGGGACCAACUUAGAGAUCUCAUAUGAUUAUGGAUUUAUGUUGUAUUUAUUCCUUUAAGGGGACCCUUGAGAUUUGUUUUGGAUUUUCUUAUGAUGUUGUAGUGCUCUAGGACACAAGUACCUUUAUGUUUUAUGACUUGAGAACCUUUAUAUGUGAUGUUUAGAUGACAUGCUUGAAAUUGUGAAAGACUUAUGCGUAUUUCCAUUAACUAAAUUAAUUUCAAGAGUUUUUAAAAGGACUAAAAGUGAAUCUUUUUCGCGUAAUAGCUUUAGUGUUUCAUGUAAUGGUAUUCGGGGUCGUUACAUUUAUCGUAUCAACGAUGGUCGUGUUGUUUAGGAACAAACCUAUGGAAAAUAUGUCUAUCAUGUUUUGUUGUGUGUGAUUAUAUGUUGAUAAGUAAACUUAUUCUUGUUGUUUGAUAACCUUAACCAAUGUUUGCUUCUUCUUUUUUUGUCUAGUUUGGCUUUGUGAGUAGGAUGGUGAGACCUUCUAUGACUUCUCCUCCACCUCCAUCCGAGAGUGCUCAAAUUGCUUGUGCCAUUGAGAUGAUGACAACUACAUCGCAUCAAUAGAGUACCACCAUGGCUUAGUAGUAUCAAGUAGUUUUGGCUCAACUUGAGACACCUCGAGUGGCCGUCGAGGCAAACAAAGUCGUUGUUCCAUAAGAGUUUUUGGGUUUUACUUAGUUUAGGAGGAAUGAUACUUGUGCACUCAAACAAAAACAAUGUAAAAGUAAUUUAUUUAUGAUAUUAUUGAGUAAGUAAUUUAAAUCUGUAUUAUAAUAAAAAAAAUUUAAUAAAUUAAUUUUAAUAUAUUUAUCAUAGAAUUAUAUAACAAAACUAACAUUAUUAUACAAAUAUUAAUAAACAAUUUCUUUCAUAUAUGAAGUUAUUAAACAAAAGAGACAAAGUAAUAUUUUGUAUUGAAUAUAUUAAUUAAUUAUAUUUAAAUUAAUUUUUAACACUAUUAUAAAUAAAAUAAUUUUUUAACACAUGAAUUUAAUAAAUGAUUUUUAAAAAUUAACAAUAGAAAAAUACUAACAUUAUAAGGAUAAAAUAUUUUAACAUAAGAAUAUAUAUAUAUAUAUAUAUAUAUAUAUAUAUAUAUAUAUAAAACUAAUAUUUAUUUAAACCAUUGAUUAAUUUACUCAAAAGUACAUAUUCAAUUUUUAAACAACGUAUGUAGAUAUCACAAAGAAUGAACAAUGACCACUCCUUUAAAAAAUGAUAAUAUUGUUAAUAUCAAUGAUUUAUUCUUGGUAUAAUUGGAGGAUUCAUAAAAUAGCAACGAAACUUAAAGGAAAUUAACAAAAAUAACUCAUAACAUUAUCUGUAUUUUGUCUUGCACAAUUAGUUAAGUUUUAUGUUGUAUUGUCAAAGUUUACACCAUCAAAACGAGUUGUGAUUUUUAUUUGCAAAAUGAAAUGAAAAUUACAUUAAAAAUAUAUAGUCUACAACAAAAUGCUUAAUAAAUCACUUCAUUAAAUUAAAACAUUUGUAUAAUUUGUUUUUCAAUCGUAAUCUCAUCAAUGCAAAUUGAAAAUUAAUAUUAUUAAUCCUAAUCUUAACAAAAUACACACUCAGGUCAGGUCAUGCCAUGCCAACAAAUAACAUUUUAGUAUAGCACAAAUAUUUUAUGUGCAUGACGUGUGUCAAAAUGUUUCUAUAAUUAAAAAAUUCCAACUCAGCUCACGCCACCUUAAAACCAACAGAUAGUACUGUGCUGUGCAGAAACUCACAAGUCACAACGCAAGCCACAUGUUUCACAUGCAAAUGCAAGUUCAUCACCCUAGUAUUGUUUGAUGGAUUUUCUAUUUUCAGCACCAACCCAUGUUGCCCAAAAUGCUUGUCCCUUCUGUUCAAUUUUCCACAUUGUCCUUUUUUAGCAGCAAAUAUCUGAGUUGUUAUGAGCUUAGAUAACAGGUAGGACUUAGGAGGAACCAUUGGCUCCGAGAGUUAUUAGCUAGCAACCGCAAACUUAGCAACCCCCUCUAAAUUGGUCCCUUCAUAAACCACCGUGAUAACAAAUCACCCUCAUUCAGUUUAUGCCUCUUGAUUCUGUUGCCACCUUCCAAACAACCCUCCACCACUCUUCACCGCCUUAGUUCCGAUCGCCCUACCGCCACAGCCACCGCCACCAUAAAUUACUUCCUGGUUACUACACAUAGUAACAACUUUUUUUUAUAUGGUAUAAUUUAUUUGGAACUCAGGAAUUAACCUGUGCAUCAAGGAGUUUGAUACACACACCCCAUCUUAUUAUAUACUUUAUUUCAUAACGUGUAUGCAGAGUAUUAUCUACCACGUGGGCAUAAAAAUUAAGCAAUUGGCCUAUGGAGAGAAAAUUGAUGAAAUUAAACACAUAGCAAGAAGUUGAAGUAAUUUCUUUAAUUGCCAUCAAGUUUUGGAAGGAGUUGGAGCUUGAUGGAGGGUAUGGCAAACAUUUGUGAUGAUGCAACCGAUGGCGACAAUGCGUUCCUAACCAUGUUUGGUGGCGAUGAAAGUGGUGGCAGUGGCGGUAGCGGUGGCAGAAGCGGUGGUGAUCAGGGUGGUGGCAAUGUGGAGGAUGUGGCUCUGAAGAAGGGUCCUUGGACAACUGCAGAGGAUGCUAUUCUAACGGAUUAUGUGACAAAACAUGGUGAAGGGAAUUGGAAUGCAGUGCAGAGGAACACGGGGUUGAAUAGAUGUGGCAAGAGUUGUAGGCUCAGAUGGGCUAACCAUUUGAGGCCCAAUUUGAAAAAGGGUGCAUUCUCACCUGAGGAAGAAAAGAUCAUUGUUGAUCUUCAUUCACAGUUUGGCAACAAAUGGGCCAGAAUGGCUGCUUUGGUAUGCAUUUCCAGAAAGCAAUUUUUGUUAUGAAUAUAUUGUAUCUGCAAAUAUAUCUAAUUAAUCAAAAACUCAAGAUACAAUAAAAAAAAAAAUGUGAAUUCUUUAUUGAUUGACAUGUUAUCUUAAAGGUUUAACAUGUUUGAUAAUGCCUGGAAACCUGGUGAACAUUAAUAUUAGCCUUUCAGAAAGAAAAAAAAUGGCGAUGGCUGGUGUAGCAUGUUUAAUGUUAGACAUGUCAUAUAUUAAAGUCAUGGCUGUUAUAACAUGUUUAAAUAUUAGACAUGUCAUAUGAAAGUGAUCCUUAAUGUAACAUGAUUGAAUAUACUAUUUCAUUUACAUGACAUGUUAUAAUCAAUUUUUGUUUCCAUCUCUUUCAUUUGGUUUAACAUCUUUUGAGAAAAAAGAUAUGCAUAAAAUUGAAACACAUCAUGUUAAAAUUUAGCAUGAGAACUCAUAUUUGGGUUUAGAUUUUGAACUCUGGUUUCUUUUGUUGUUUUUGUUGUGACAUAGUUACCUGGGAGAACAGACAAUGAAAUAAAGAACUAUUGGAACACAAGGAUUAAACGCCGCCAAAGGCAGGGUCUCCCUCUCUAUUCAGAUGAGCAUGAUCAUAACCAUCGUUCCACAACACCAACCUCUCCCACCACACCUUCCCCAUGCCUCACACCAACAGGAUCAAACCCCAACAUUGCCACAAGUUUUGAGUUCUUCAAUCAAAACCAACAACAACAACAACAAUACCAACACCAAUACCAAUACCAACAACAACAACACCCUCUAUCUCCAACUGCAUCUCAUCAUUCCCCUCUCAGUUCCCCUCUUCAACACAGACAACCCUUCACCUCUUCAUCACCUCACAAUUUCUUAGACCAUUCACCUCUUCCACUCUCCUCCUCUUCACCCUCCCCUCUCUCCUUCUCCUUCCAAAAACCAGCACCAAUGCUAAGCACCCCUCUUCGCUUCAAGCGCUACCGCACCUCUCCAAGCUACAACAACCACCUCUCUGACCCUCCUCUCACCACCCAAUUCCCUCACCUUGAUGGAUUCAGGUUCCCAGUUUCUUCAGGCUUUUCUCAGUUUUUUCAGCCCUCUUUAUUAGACUCCGAUCGAGGCGUUUCUUCUUCCUCCUCUUUGGCUUUCCAACCCAAGUUGGAGCUCCCUUCAAGCCAGUAUUAUAAACCACCCCAUGAGCAAGACAUUAAGCUUGACAUUGAGUUCAAUGAUCCUUCUUUUCAAAGUAGUAGUAGUGGCUUUCUGGGGGAUCUUCUCUUCGAGGCUCAGGCAAUGGCUUCAGGCCAGAACUCAAAGAAACGAGGUUACUUGAGUUUGAAUGAGAGAAAUGAUGUGUUUGAUGCAUGCCAAAGCUUUGAGAACUUUCCAUCUAGCUCUCUUUACUGGCCUUCUUCAACUUCUGGUUGGUUUCUUGAUAGAUAGUUACUAGUUAGUUACAGUUAGUUACCUUGUGUAUCUUUGCUUCAUUCUCUUAUUGUUGUUGUUGUUUGAUUUACUUGAGUUCAUUUAUUUGUUUUGGAUAAACUGAGCCAGUUACUUAAAUGUUUGUAGUACUGUUUUUUUUUACAACAAAUGUUUGUAGUCCUGUUCUUCAAUCAGAAUUGGAAUUUGUUAAUCCACUUAAUAAAAUGUUAUAAAGAUGAAAUUCCAAUUCUGAUUAGACAAGAACACUAAAGCACAUAAGAAACUAUAUCUAUGUUAUGUUCUACUUUUUUUUAUGAUGCAUUAUUAAUGUUACACUUUGCUUUGAUUGUUUGAAUGUUGUACUCAGUUCUUGUCUUAGACACACUAACCAGUUGGCUCUGAUAUCGAACAGAAUAUGAUUGCAUUAAUUUUGGCUUGUCAUUUUGUUUUAGUCUCGACAACCUUUUCUACCUAUAUGUGCCGUAUGAUGAAUUGAGUAUUAAUUUGACCUGCCAAGUUUAGUAUAGACAGAGAGUUGAUUAUCCUAAAAUUGGAAUGAAGUUGGUUUAUUUAACUAUUCCUUGUAGCUGUAUACAUGCUGAAUGGAUGGUACGUAGUCUUCGGCGUGUUGGAAUACAAAAAACAUUACUUUAUUGUGGAAAACAAGGAAUAUACUAUUUUUUAGUCUGCCCAAUCGCUACAUGUACCACUAUUAUUACUAAUUUCUCCCAUGGUUAUUCUUGAUAUUAUCUCUAAGACUUUUGAAAAACAAUUGGUGGUACGCUGUUUUCAUUUCUUCAAGUGUAUGUUCUGUUCAGGUAGCAUCAUCUAUAGUGUAAAAUAUGACUAGGAUGUUUAAAUUUAUAUGUUAAAACAAUGUUUAUUUUAAUAAAAUAAGUAGUUUUAUGUUAAUUUAAUAUGAUUGUCUAAAUUUUUUUGUUUAAAAAACAAUUUUUUGUUUAUUUUAAGAAAUAAAUCUUAUCUGUUUAUUAAAAAACUAUUUUUUUAAGAAAAACACAUAUUUUAAAAAUAUAUAUAUAAUUUUAAACAAACUAAUCCCAUAUAGUUGAUUAAAUUUACGUAAAGUUUUGAAAUUUUUUAUCACUGAUUCCAUUUGAAUGAUCUAUACAUGCAGAACCAAAACCAAAGGAAGAGGCACCGGACUUCAGUAAAUUCAUGAAUGAGGAGGUGUCAUCAUUGCUUACAGUGGUUCCAUCUUCCAGUAUGCAUGGUCAUGAGUGGCACAAUAACAGUGCCACAGAAGUGUCCAAUGUCCAAUCGUCUGGUAGUGGCAAGACAGAUGACAAUUUUGUACUUGAUAUCAAACCCAUAACUUCAUUGUUUCCUCUCUCCAACACCGCAAGCCAUGAUGAAAACCAAGGAUGCUACUCUUGGGACAAUUUACCUGGUCUCUUCUAAGGUUGAUCAAGAUUGAAAUGAUUUCCAUAAUAGUUAAUUAUGAAUAUAUUUUGGGAUUAAAUUAUAUAGAAAUUUAUAAAAAAAAAUCUAUUUUUUUAGUAAAUAAUUGUUAAAUUAAUAUUAUUUAAGUUUUUGUGCAGCCAAUAUUAAAAGUGAAGAAUUUACGAUGCUCAAUCAGUUUUAAUAAAGCUCGAGCUAAUUAAGGAAAGAAGAAUUAAUUAAAGAAACAAGCUUACUGAGGAAAGCAGACUAAUUAAGGAAAGAAGACUAAUUGAGGAAUGCUAGACUAAUUAAGAAAAGAAUAAUAAUUAAGGAAAGCAUGACUAAUUAAAAAAAGUAAAGGCAGACUUACUGCAAAAGAAGAAGAAAGAAGAAGGAAAAGAAACAGAAAUUUCAGGAGAAUACAAUUUCCUAUAAAAGACAACGGCUCGAAAUAGGAGAAGCAAACAUCGGGAGUCAUUUCUUCCUUCCAUUCCCUUUCUUAUUUUUUCCCCCUUUACUAAAUAUUUUCCUCUUGCAAUUGUAAAACCUCUAUGACAAUGAGAGGCUAAACCCUCUUUGUUGAGAAUUCUUAUCUAUUUAUGAAUGUUACAUUAGCAAUAUCUUUACCUGUGCUUAAUAUUAUUACUUGUGGCUUGAUCACCCAUUUGCACGGUAAGUUUUAGGAGUAGCGUUGAGAAACGUUAUUUUCUACUAGAAGUGGGAAAGGAUAUCUAAAUAAAGUCAUCUCUAGGGAUAGAUUGAUAUUUGUUUAGCUUGUUAUACAUAUAUAUCCUUAAUGUAAUUCACCAUUUUAGCUCUGCAAAGGGAUUUAGGAGAAAAUAGAAAAAUUAGGUUUUUUCAUGCGGGAGACCAAAGUCAGAGUAUACUACUAGAUUUAAGUGUAAAUUGGAAUAAUUAUAAAUAGAGAAAAAUUAUUAAUAUUACAUCAAAUAGUAGCUCUGGUAGGCUAAAUUUCCAACAUUCUCAUCUUCUGAAUUUCCUUCUACAAUAAUAUUGAAUUUUGUCAUCUUUUCUUUCUUUAAUUAAUUAAUUUAAAUUCUUGUUUGAUUUAAUUUUCUACCAAUUUAAAUUAUUGUUUUUUUACAACGUUUCCAAAUCUUUUUUUUAAUCAAAUAUUCAUCUACAUAAGUAUAAACAAAGUCCUUGUGGAUACGAUACUCGAACUUCCGUUUUAACUUUACUACUUUGAAGAAUUGGUGCAUUUGUCAAUCCAUCAACAAGUUUUUGGCAUCGUUGCCGGGGAUUUUGUUCUUUGUACUUGGUAUUUUGGAUAUUCUAUUUUUAACUGUAUUCUUCCUUAACUUUUCAAAUUUAAAUGAUAAAAAAAAGUAUCUUUUUCUUGUGAGUCUAUACUUGCAGGAUGAAACCUCAGAAGAAUUUGAUCCAUGGUGUUCUAAGCAUCUUGAAAGCAUAUAAUUAGGGGUCAUUCACCCACCACCGGUAAAUUGUGAUUUUUGUGGAGGAGAACAUUUCAAUAAUAAUUAUCAUCUCUACUUCAUGGAAAAUUCUUGGUGGGAACAAGAGUUACACCCUUACAAUCAAUAUAAUCAAUAUGAAGAAAAAAAGACAUUCUCAUAUGGAGAAUGUGUUGAUGCAAUUCAUGGAAACAUCCCAAGCUAGCUUCAAAGCCAAUCAAAACUCAAUUCAAAAUUUGGAGAUUCAGGUUGACGUGAGUUACUCCAUGAAAAAUUAUUGGUAGGAGCAAGAGUUACAACCUUACAAUCAAUAUGAAGAAGAAAUAAUUUUUAAUUUUGAGAAUGUGUUGAUAAAAUUCAUGGAAACAUCUUAAGCUAAUCAACACGCAAUUCAAAAUCUAGAAAUUCAAGUUGGUAAGCUAGCAAAAGAAGUGGCUAAAUUACCCUUUUUGGUCACAAGGGAAAAAAACUUUGUAGAGAUUAAAGUUCAUGAGAAAAGUCUUGUAGAAGAGCAUGAUUCAAGAGAAAAAGGUGAAGACAAAAGUGAGGAGAGAACAUAAAAACAAUGGGAAAAGUGUUCACAAGUAGAAAUUCCACAAGAAAGUAUUCUCCAAGUCAAUACCCCUCCUCAUCAACUGAUUGGCAAGGAAGAAAGGCACGAAGAACGUGAUAAAUCUUUAAGUGUCAUUCUCUCCUUGAUCACCCAUUUGCAUUAUCUUUUCUUGUGCUUAAUAUUACUGCUUGUGGCUUGAUCACCCAUUUGCAUGUUAAUUUUUAGGAGUAGCGUUGGAAAACGUUAUUUCCUAAUAGAACUCGGAAAGGAUAUCUAAAUAAAGUCAUCACUAGGAAUAGGUUGAUAUUUUUUUAGCCUGUUAUACAUCUCUAUUCUUAAUGCAAUUUACUAUUUUAGCUCUACAAAGGAAUUUGGGAGAGAAAAUAGAUAAAUUAAGUUCUUUCAUGCGAGGGACUAAAGUUAGAGUAUACUAAUAGAUGUAGGUGUAAAUUGGAAUAAUUAUAAAUAGAGAAAAAUUAUUAACAUUACAUCAAAGAGAAGCUCUGGUAGGCUAAGUUCUCAACAUUCUUAUCUUCUGAAUUUUCUUCUACAAUAAUAUUAAAUUUUCUCAUCUUUUCUGUCUUUAAUUAAUUAAUUAGUUUAAAUUCUUAUUUGAUUUAAUUUUUUUGUCAAUUUAAAUUAUUUUUUUCUACAACCUUUCCAAAUCUUUUUCUUAAUCAAACAUUCAUCUACAUAAGUACAAACAAAGUCCUUAUAGAUACGGUACUCGAACUUCCGUUUUAACUUUACUACUUGGGACAAAUUUGUGCACUUGUCAAUCCAUCAACAGUUUCAAAGUUGUGUACCAAGAUAAUUUUAGAAGCUAUUUAUAAUGUUAAUGAAGAAGUUUCGUGUUGGAUGCAAAUGAUAUCGUUGUUGUUUGAAACCGUUAGACUAGCCAUUGAUUAUGUUGAUAUUUUAUGCCUUAGGAUGUGUUCGAUUCAAAUUUAUUAUUGUAAUUCCUAUACUCAAGGAAUAUAGCGUGUUGGGUAAUCAAGCUCUCAUAAACAAAAUUACACAUACCUACAAAGGAUCGUGAGAAUACAACAAAGAUUUUAUCGUAUAAAAAAUAAUAACGAAUGAAGAAUUUAGCGUGGUUCAGCACAUCUUGCUUACAUUCAGAGAGUUAUCUCAAAAGUAUUUCGUUAUCACAAAAAUGAUUACAAGAUUAUAACUCAUUCUAAAUUAUAUAUCACUCUACAAACUCGAGUACAUCACUCAAUAGUUACAAGAAAUGAUAACACUUUUACACAAUAAUAUUUUUCUCUCAACAAAGUAACUUUAUUUCACACUCUCUCUUCUCACACACUCUCUCUUCAUGUCUGUCUUCUCUACUAAUUAUCUUAUCUAUUUAUAGUGAAAAUUGUCACCAAUUAUAAUAAAUAACUUCUCUUGAAAGUUGAAACAAAAAAUAAUUUUUAAUGCAUUCAUUCAAAUAUGUUUCAUCUAAUAAAACAUAAUAUUUCACUUUAUAUUUAAACCACCAAAUAUUAAUGAUAAAAAUUUAAUUCUCAGUGUGCAUUAAAUGCACAUUAUCUUUUAGCUUGGAAUUCUAUAAUUCGUUGGGUUAUAAAAAAACUUAACUAAACCUUAAUACAAAUCAUAUUAUAUUUAAAAAAAUCUAAAUAAUAUAAAUUGGUUUUAAAAUUAGCUUGAUUUAUAGAUAUUUUCUUUUAUCAUGUGUGACUAGUACAACUCCUAAAUGUUUUAUAUUUGAUACCAACCUAAUUUGACCAAGUUAUUAGGUGAUGAGAUUCUUGGUAGGACCAGUGUGAUCAAUAAAAAUUUUCAUUUGAAUAUUUAAUGUACAUCUAUUGUGUCCUCUUCUUUAUAAGUUAGCCUUUCUUUUCGUUUAAAAAUAGUUUAGGCGUUUAAAUAUAUUCCAUAUGUAUUUUUUAGGUUAAAUUACUCAUUUGGUUCCUAUAAUUUCAUGAUUCUUACUUUUUUAGUCCUUAUAGUUUGAAAAUGAUCUUUUUAGUUCCUAUAAUUUACAUUUUAAUUCUCUUUUAGUCCAUGUAGUUUUGAAAAUAGUCUUUUUAGUUCCUAUAGUUUUAUGAUUCUUACUUUUUUAGUCCUUAUAGUUUUCAAAGUACAGGGACUAGAGAAUUAAAAUAUAAACUAUAUGGACUAAAAAGAACACUUUUAAACUACAAGGACUAAAAAAGAAUUAAAAUAUAAACUAUAGAAAUUAAAAAGAUCACUUUCAAACUAUAGAGACUAAAAAGGUAAGAAUCAUGAAACUAUAAGGACCAAAUGAGUAAUUUAACAUAAUUUUUAAAAAAGAAAUUAAGAAAUAAAAUGAAUCAAACUUUGCCUAUAAAUUAAAAAUUAUUUAUAGUUGGACAAUCACUAAAAUUCUCUAAAAUUAUUUAUGUAAUAUUUCAUAUCUUUGAAGAGUUAAAUUUAAAAGUUUCUAAAAAAAGUUUAGAUAUAUCUCUACAAGUACUUGUGAAAAAGUUCAUCUAAAACUCUUCAAUCAUAAGUGCAUUUGCGUUUAAUAAUUGUUUAGACAUUAGCACUAAAUUUGAACUUUGAAAGUCAAUAAUGUUUAUAUAAUGCGUAGGUGUAAGAGAUAAAACAUCAUUAAAAAUUGAAGAAAGCUUAUAGAAAGCCAACUCUUCACGUAGCUUAUUUGGAAUUGAUAUUUCUCUUUUUGGUGAUCACAUUUAGAGUUGAUAGAGAAUACUCACUCUUCUCUCCCCCUCCCUUAUCACAUAUCAUUAGAUAAUAAACAUUUGUUCUUUUCAAAAAUAAUUGAAGACAAUAAGUUGGUGGCAGGUCUCUCUCAAUUUGCCACAAUAUGUAUGAUUCAUUAAUUGUAGAAUUGUAAGUGCCACCCAGUUAAGUUAUUUGUCAACUCAGUAAUGCGUGUUUCAUCUAAAUUGGAUUUACUAGUGUUUAUACUUUACAUCACACAUUCACACCGAAUUUUAUUCAAAUUUAAAUGAUUUAAAAUUCACCUAACUCGUGCAUCUUUUUUAAUUCUUUAUAGAGCUCGUAUUUUUAAAUCAAUUAUUUUUUAAGUCGUAAAGAGCAUAGGCACUACACAAAUUAGUUCAGUACUAUUAAUUCCAGUUCAGCUUGGUCACGGGUUAUUCAUUCGACCAACUAACAUCCAUUAUGUGACUUUCAUUCAACCAAGAGUGCUACCAACACUUGUUUAACACACUUCUAUUAUUGAAUAAAAUUUGUAAGAAAUUACAAAAUCAUAAAUAAAACUCAUUAAAUGCAAAGGAGUACUCAAAAUUAUGAGUUUUUCAAUAAUAAAAAAUAUAUUUAAAAAAGUGUAUCCAAUAGUGUGCUGCCAGCAUUCUUCUAAUUCAAUUAUAUCUUCUAACACAAGAGAAACUGAAAUGAAAAGCAUAAUAGGUGAGAGAUUUGGACAAGACUACUUUUAGGAAGACAAAAAGCGUACACAAAUGAACGUUUAAGCUUAAUUUUAUUUAAAGGAAACGAUUAACACAUAUCCAUUUUUUGGGUGCAUAAAUGGAAGUAAAAAAGAAAUAGAAAGAGAAAAAAAAAAUAGAUGUGAUAAAUAAUAUAAUGAAAAAUGAAGAUAAAGACAGAAAAAAAAAGGAUGAAGUGAGAUAGAAGAGAAAGAAUACAUGAAUAUAAGAACUUUUUACUUAAAUGUAUCAUGAUUCACUAGCUAAAGUAGUGUAUAAAGGUGAUGUUAAAGAAACAAAUUCACUUUAGAAUUCUUUUUAUCAAAGAUUUAGGGAAUAACUUGGACAUCUACAUGACAUUGGUCUCAAAAACACUUCUGCACUUCUAAAUGAUUAAUGGCUUUAUGAUUCAAUUACAAUACUUAAUACAUCCAUCAUUUUGUCUGUAUGGAUGCUCGGAACAACAUACCACAUGCAAUAAAUUUCAAACAAACCACUUUCAAUUGCCACAACAAAGCUGAAUCAUUGCUUUUUCAUGGUAAAUGCCUAAACGAAUUCUUUCAUAUUCAACACACAAUCUCAAUAACUAAGCACCCCCCCCCCCCCCCCC